rnacentral:lncRNA from 1 species
CCAACCUACUUCAGACCCAAAAAAGAAAAAGCACACUUGCCGAUCUACGUAAGUUAAAAGAGGACCAAAAUAUUAGUAAAUUCCGAAAAGUUUUCAGAUGCGCCGGCGCCGUGGAGGUAGUCGGAGAUUAUCUCUUCGGAUAGGGCCCGUCGGCGGGCGACAAGACGCCGACGGGACGGCGGUGUGAGGUGGCGGGGCUCGGAGGCCUUCUUGAAGAGGCCCUUUGCGCCUCUUCGGGUAGGCCACGAUUCCCUCGGCCGAAGAGAUAAUCUCUGACUACUUCCGCGGCGGCGGCGGCGGCGACGGCGACGUGGUGCCGCCGAUGGGUGUGACUGGAUUGAGGUUGAGUGGGAUUCUUGCGCGACGAAGGAGGACGUGGAGUCCCUGAUCGGCGAAGUAUGACCCCGUUCGUGAAUUAGUACGCAAAGAAAUUGGAAAGAUCUGGGAAGAAUUCGUCUGCGAUGAUCGGUGCUGGUGAAGAUUCCGGAGCUGUGUUUGGUUGUAAUUCUGAAAUUUCGGCCGAUCAAGAGAUGGGUUCCGUUUUUGAGAGCUUCAAAGCUCGUUGCCAGGCUCUAUUCGUGGACUUGCGUUGGAGAUGGCGACGGCUUCUUGACUUCGCCGGAUAACUUGGCCAUCGGCGGUGGAAGCUCGGGAGAGGAGUCGACGCUCUGCGAUGAAGGCUAUGGAUAUAAUCCCGACCACUUUCUUACACUUGAAGAUUUGGAUGUUCUUCUGUGAUGUAAAUGUGAAAUGCAUGUGAUUGUUCUUAUUAAACUGCACCGUACAGAAUACAUGGAGUGGGUCGUGUUCAAAUUUAUCUCUUUUCGGAUGAGAAAAGCAUCAUUUAGUCAGUUGUUUCGUGGCUGAAGUUGGGGAUAGAGAGGAUUUAUGAUUUCAGUGGUAUUUCUCUUUUGCUAGAUUGUGAAAGAGACUAGCUUUUAUUUAGACUGUCUCAGUAUGGGGAUGAAUUGACUGUCAGGGGUGAUGAAUGGCGGUGCCAGUGAAUGCGAAGCUUUCCACUGUCUGUGGAGUACUAUUGCUCUUUAGAUCGGAUAGUUUAUGCAACUAAUUAUCUGUUCAUUGAUGACUUCUGUGGGGAAACCUCAGAAAAUAGUUUUAGAGAUGUGGUUUUUAAACUGAACUUACAACUGUGAUGCACGUCUUGAGGGAACAUCAGACAGUUUGUGCUUCAUAUCUUUCGGGUAGUAGGAAAAAGGUAAAAUUUCUGAAGGAACACAAUUAAAAGCAGUGAUUUGCAAGUCCUGUUAUAUGCAGUUCCUUUCGUAUCCUUCUCAAUGGACUUUGGUAUUGACAAAUAACUGGGAGAAUAUUGUUCGCUUGCCUUGCCUUUAUCAUAAUUAUCUAUACUCCUGUAAGCAUCUUAAUGACGAAGAUCAUCAUAUACUUUACCAUGCCAUCAGUUGCUCAUUACGCUUUUAAGGGGUCUGUCUUUCAAGGGAUCAACCCAGUUCCAUCAUCAAAGGCAUUGUAUUGGAAGGCAGAUUGCAGUGCCUGUAUGUUGCAGAUGAUAAAGUGACUGUAUUGGAGUCAAAGAAAUGGGCUUGGGAGAAUCUGCUAGAAGCUCAGGCUAUCAGAGAAGCUGUAAAUCCUUGGAGAAAUCAUGAUGCAGAAGCAAAAAAGAAUUCAUAGUGCCACCAUUGUUGAGUUUGUACCUGGUAUAAUUUCUUCUCAAACGCUCUCAUUCAACAAGGAGAGAACCUUUCUGUAAACCAUGCUCUUGAUGGAGAAGUUUGAUAACAUUCAAAACAAAUAGGUCUAGGUGGUGGAGCUAUUUUGCUUAACUCCUUUUAGUUAAUGUGUAAUCCAUGUAUUUAUGAGACAUUUUGGCAAUAGGUCUUAAUACCUCUGGCUAUUAGACUUGUGCAUUGUAAUUGAUGGGAUGAUCACACAUUAGUUUAUUGGAUUAUGUUUUAUUCCUUUUGCCCUUAUGAGUUGGCAAAGAGUACCUAAAAUUGGAUGACCAUAUGUACUGAUGCUGGAAGCUGUGACUGUAGACCCGUUAAACGGGUGGGUCGGGUCGGGUUUGGGUCGGGUCAUAAAUGGUCCGACCCAAAGCGACCCAUUUAACCCGUUUAUAACCCAUUUAUUGCAGUGCAAAUUUUUUGACCCAUACCUGACCCGACCUAUACCCAACCUAUACCCGACCCAUUUAACAAAACAUAAAAAAGCUUAUAUAUAUAUUAAAAUGGUAUUGCUAACAUGAUUUUAUGCAAUAUAAAUUUUAAAAAUAAUUAUUUAAAAAAUCGAAUUUUAAUUAUUUUUUAUUUUUAAAAAAAUUAUUUUUAAAUUAUUUUUUAUUUUUAAAAAAUUAAAUUUUUAAUUAUUUUUAAUUUUUAAUUUUCUUUUUUCUUUUUCUUCUUCCUCUUCUUUGGCCGGCCGCCGGCCACAACGACGGCCGGCGACCGGCCACAGGCGAGCUGGCUCGCCCGGCUCGCCGACGCCGGCGAGCCUCGAGCUCGCCCCUCGCCAGAUCUGGCGAGGCUCGGGCCUCAGCGGACGUCGGCGAGCUCGAGCCUCGCCGGACGUCGGCGAGGCCUUCGCCUCGCCAGAUCUGGCGAGCUCGAGGCUCGCCCCUCGCCAGAUCUGACGAGGCUCGAGCCUCGCCCGACGCCGACGAGUUCACGUCUCGCCAGAUCGGCGAGGCUCGAGCCUCGCCGGGCGUCGGCGAGGCCUCCGCCUGGCCAGAUCCGGCGAACUCGAGGUCGCCCGACGCCGGCGAGCUCGAGGCUCGCCUGGCCGGUCGCCGGCCAUCACCGUGCCGACGACCGGAGUUAGAAGAAAGAAAGAAAAAAAAAAAGGAAAGAAAAAAUAAUUAUAGUUUUGAUUUUUAUAAAAAACAAUUGUAAAAUUAAAGAGAAGAAAGAGAGAUAAUGAGGUUUUGAGUGAAAAAUGGGUUGAUAAAUGGGUCAUAAACGGAUCAGAGAGCUACCCGUUUAAAACCCAUAUAUCUUAGUGUUUACCCAUUAAAACUUAUUAUGGGUGCUUUAUAAGAUCAAGCUUGACCCAUUAAUGACCCAUUUAAUCAUAAAUGAGUCCAUAAAUGGGUUGUGCAACCCAUUUAACACAUCUACCAAAAGAGAAGCGGAAAAAGUCGAAAUGAAAAGAAUUGGCAGGAACGGGCGAAGGAGGAGCAAGAAAGAGAUGGAGGGUCCUCACACAGAAGCCGGUCUUGAUCAUGAACAACUCCAUGGAGCCUCCGACGAGGGCCGAGAAGACCGCGAUCUUCGCAUACCAAUCAAGAAACUUCACCGCCAUAUCGAAAGCUGCCGCUCAAGCUUUCCGCGGCAGCGGCUGGAAGACGGGAAAACGAAAGAAGGGUCGGUAAGAAAGAAAGAAGGAAUAGAUAACUUCACGUAGAGAGAGGAGAUCCAUCGAGGCCCAUCAUCGGCCAACGCAGCCCGACCAUUUCCCCUCUAAAGAAAGCUCCCUUAGCUGUUGGGGCAGGAAUUUGGGCCUUUGGCCACUUUUAGGGCAGCUCGUUGCAUCAAGAUGCAAUCUUUUCUUCUUCUUUUCUCGUUGCGUCAACGAGGGCCGAUGCCUUAUUACAGAGGGUCGAAGGUGAGCAUAAGAACUUCAUCCCGAGCGAAUCUGCUCCAUGUCGUGCUGUGGAUGGCUAGGAAUCAGACCUUCUGAGGGAGAAACCGAUACGGCAAGAGCUGGUCACGGCAUGCAUAAGCUCUUCUAGGAGUAUUUCCGCUCGGUGAUGAAAUUUGAUGCUCGAUCUGAUCUACAUUUAGGACGGAGAUUUGAGCUCGACGAUCCCGGAACUGCUAGAGUUUCGGCAAAUUUCAUUGAGCACUUCUCAGCAACUAGCAAGCAGAGUCCAUGUCUAUGUUGAAGGUGACAGCUCAUCUGUCAUUGAGCCUCUGAUCAAUCUGGAAACACCUCCUGGUUGGAAGUGGGAGAUUCUUGAACUUAGUAAAAUUGAGAAGAUUUUGGCAAGAUCAAGUGCUGGGGACUCAAUUCAACUCCAUAAUUAAUCUUAUCUCGUAAAAUCUUGCCCACCCAAUAUCCAACAGUCACACUUACCCUUUUUCGCUUAUCCCUUUUUGCGGUGAAAUAAAAUGACUGUACCUGAGGUCGUGUCAUUAAAGCACUGAAGAAGCAACCCUUUCGACCACAAAUCCAUAGAACGCUGAACAAGCACCCUAAGGGUCGCAACACCAGGGACUAGCCUAUUCCGAACGUGAAGGCGUCUAAAAUCAGUCCUGCAUGGCAUCUACUGAGCACAAAGAGGACUUCAACAUCGGUGCAAGUUCUGGGGACUGGCAUCUACUUUCUUGUCCCUGUCAGUAAGCUGCAUCCUAGAUUCAGAUCUCAUAUGAGACUGGUGGGAUUAUCCACCAAUGCAACUCAGGAAGGACAUAGCGGCAAUUCAACCGCCACUAUCAAGCUAAGCAUAUGCAAAUAUUAUUGGAUAUACUUCCAUUCUUUGAACCAUUUACUUUUCUUAUUAGAUAUUAUUGUUCAGGAUCUCGAUCAUGAUCAUAUCUAAUGGACGCUCAUGAGGUACCAUUCGCAGUGAAAUAAGCCCAAGGACUAAUAGCCUCAAAGCCCUCUUCCCAUUGCAGUCCUUGAACCCCUGGUACCACUUCUUUUUCCUCUCUAAACUCGAAUGAAAAAAGUGAAAAGAAACAGUGGUCCGCCAACAGAACCAUAAGUGAACACAAAACUUAUCAGCAAGCAUCAUAGAAGUAGGUUAUGCAUAUCAAUGGCCACAGCAAAUGCAAAUACGGAGGACAAUGUUGCUGCUUCGACAGGGUUGGGUUUCAUCUAGUUCAGAAAAGCUUUCCACCUUAUUGUGUGAGACCACAAGUCAACAUGCACUCCUUUUAUGGAAACUAAUCGCAUUGAAAUUGCAAUAUGCAAAUUGAAAAUUUAGGCUCAGACAAGUCAGGAUUUUUUAACUUAUUUUUCAGAUCAAUGACCGCAGACAGGGUCAGUCCAAGUGAAUCCAGGGGAUUCAGUCACACUAAUUUACCCAAAUAAUUUGGACUUUCACCUUGCACAUUGCAUAUACCAUUGAGAUAUUUCGCAUAAAAGGAUACAAUAGUAUACUUGGUAGUCUCUACGUUGUAAAUACAGCAUAAACAGAGGAGUUGCCGUAAAGAUUCAUCGGAGCCAUUAUUAACAUGAAUAGAAUCAAAUUGGAUAUGACAUUACACUACUGAGCAUUGAGGACCAUUCUGAAGGGUGUGAGGAGGCGAUUGUUAUCUGGCUCAUUGUUGUAACAUUCACAACAUUGGCAUAAGUUCCUGUUAAUAAAUCCAGCCUCAUCAUCGAAUUGAUUUGUCAUUGCAAUUAGGAACUUCUGACUAGGAGGCAGGCAAGAAUUGUAGAAGAACUACGUAUAGCUUACCUGCAUUUCCUUUUGUCUUUGAGCAUAACGCUGCAUGUUUACUCUUGGACUCCAGAUCAGCUAACAGCUCCGCCAGAUUCGUCAUCGUUCAAUUCACUUCUUCAUCUAGUCUUGUGAUUUUUCAGUCUACUUUAACAAGGACCAGGCCUUCACUCUCUCCUUUCCUCCCAUUACGCCAUUCAAAAUCUUAUGGCAGUUUUUUAAAAUUGCCCAAUGUCCUUUUUGAUAUGCAAAUUAUGAGUCUAAACAUUCACAGCCAGAUUUAUUGCAGGGGAGAAAGAAAUUAAGGGACUAAGUUUUUUGCAUAUGCUUCUGAAGCCGCGCCGGCACACUAUCUGGUUUUCGUGUUGGCAACGUCGCUUGAGAAUCGUGAUCAUUCUUCCACGUGGAUUACUGCUCGAACAAGUUCGCUUCCAUACAAACUUCUUGUGUUGACAUUCGAUCUUCAGUUAGUAUAUUCAAUGUUCAUAACUCAUAAUGCGUCAUGUCAUGUAUCUGAUCAUCUUGUUGGUUUGACAAGAUAUCAGAUUUUGGCUUGAUUGAGAUUAUGUCUUCCUGUAGUUUCUAAAGUACCCUCUAAAAUUAGAAAAAAAAAAAAAAAAGACUAAAUUCCACAGAUCAAGAAAGUGAAGGAAAGAAACAGAGAGAGCCAAUGUCAUUAAACCAGUGAACUGGAAAAAGAGAUAUUGAAUUCUGUACAAUGCAGUUUAACAAGAAAAACCACUUAUGUUCACAUUUGCAUCAAAGAAUGACAUCCAGAUCUUCAAGUGUAAGAAAGUGGUCGGGAUUAUAUCUAUAGACCUCGAGGUCGCAAUGCAUUGGCUCCUCUACCGAGCUUCCUCCACGGAUGGCUGAGUUUUCCCGCAAAGCCAAGAAACUGUCACGGUUACCGUCACCGAAACAGUCCUCCAAGAGACUACGAAUCUCGGCAGGACAAAAUCCACACCCCUCAAGGUCACAGUGCAUCGGCUCCUCUCCCAAGCUUCCUCCGCCGAUGCCUGGGUUCUUCGGAAAAGUGAAGAAAAUGUCAAGGUCACCAUCGCCGAUGCAGUCCUUGAACGGACUAAGAAAUUCAUCAGGAUUAAAUCCACACCCCUUGAGGUCGCAGAGCAUCGGCUCCUCUCCCGAGCUUCCACCCCCCAUGGCCGAGUUCUCCGGUAUAGUCGAGAAACUGUCAUGGUGACCGUCACCGACGCAAUCCCCGGACACACUAAGGAAGUUGUCCGGAUUACAUCCACGCCCCUCAAGAUGGGAGCAGGUUGGGGUGGAGCCCACUCCCAAACCCCCACCGCCGGCGGCCGACUUCUCCGGCGAUGUCAAGAAAAGGUCGCCAUCGCCCAAAUUUUCAGAAUCACAACCAAACCCGUCUCCAGAAUCGCCACCAGAACCGAUCACGACGGACGAACCCUUCUCCAGAUCUUCCAACUUCUCGCCCACAAGAUCACGAACGGCGUCGUACUUCGCGAUCAGGGACUCCACGUCCUCCUCCGUCGCGCAAGAAUCCCACUCCUUCUCAAUCCACUCCGCCCACUCGGUCAAACCCAUCGGCGGCUCGACGUGGUCGGCAAUUACGUCAUCUUCCACGAAGGGGUCGCUGAAGAAAGAAUAGGGCUUGCCGGCGGGGGAGAAGACAAUGACGGCGGCGCGAGCGCCGCAGAGGCGGCAGAGCUCGGAGGCCUUCUUGAAGAGGCCCUUGCGCCUCUUCGAGUAAGUCACGAGCCGCGCGGCCGGGUCGGCGAUCUUGGCGAUCUCCGUUCGCCGGCGCUUACCCAUUACCGAUGGAUUUCGCGAAAAUUCUUCGACGAAUUGCAGGAUUCUUGGGUUUCCGAAGAAGAGCUUUCGUGGGUUUUUCUGGGUUUCUUGUAGAGAGAGAGAGAGAGAAAUGAAGUUUGAAGUUGCAGAGGAGGCGGGCGGGGGAAAGGAGCCGAACGGGAAGAUCUACUUAUAUAGCCAUCGUGGGGCCCUUUCGAGAACUUUCUGAAUUCUGAUUUUCGGUCCUCUAGAUUUCUGUAGAUUUUCAAAUUGGCCCCACAAACAGUUUAUUUGUGUCGAUUAAGUACUCUUAAGUUUUCAUAAUUUGUGUAAUUGGUGGUUUGUCCAAUGGAUUCCUUUUACCAUUGACACGGUGCGGUAAUUAAUUGAAUUAGAUAAGUGAAGACGUCCCUUCAAAUUAUAAAAUUUAAUUUUUAAAUUAGAUAAGUAAUGACAUUGCAUUAAAUCAUGAAAUUUAAUUUAACAUGAGAUAAGGAAAAAAAUAAAGGAAAAAAGAAUAAAUCGAGAGGUUAAACGAGAGAAGCUCGUCGCCAUGAAGAUUUCAUUGAAGGUUUUUUAUUUAUUUAUAAAUUCCAUUUAAUAACAUUUAUUCUAUGAUAUUUUUUUUCUUUUUACUAUCGUCAAAUACUUGAAAACAGAAAAAACUUUGUAUAAAAAAUAUGAAGAAGCUAUACUGUAAGUAAUUCAUUAAGUUGCAACAUUUGAUUAAAGGAAUAUUUUUUUUUUAAGAGAAAGGACACCUUAAUUGAAAAUAUAAUACCCGAUUAGAAUAUUUGCUCAAAUGUAUAGACUAUAACAACGCGUAAUACUAUAUUUUUCCUCCUCCCAUGGAUCAAUAUGCUAUGUUAGGCAUCAUCAUGAAGUAAACAAAGUAGAUAAAAGUUAAACCACCUAAAUAUCUAAAUAUCAGGUAAUAACAACCUCAUCUGACUAGAGUAAAAAAGAAUUAUAUUAUACACUCCCAUUACAAUCCAACAAAAAAAAUUGACACCAAAUAGUUACGUGUAUAGGUUAAGUGAUAUAUUUUCCUCUAACUAGUUAUAAAUUGUGGACAUCACUCACAUGCAAAGUAAACAAAAUAUUAAUAGAAGUGAUGUCUAUGGUUGUAACCCAUCAAUCAACUUACAUAAUUCACCAGCAUUUAACUUUUUCUACAUAAUACAAAAGCACAAGGACAGUAUUAAGACCAAUGAUAAAAUCUGAAUUCAAUUCUAUGUUUUAGACCUAGUAGGAUUUUGGCACAAAUAUGAAUAGUAUAAAUUUUAGAUAUAUCCAUGAACUUAAUAAAUCUCAGUUGCUAGAUUUUCGAACCUCACAUGGAAUCCACAUGAUCAAGGCAAUUGCAAACUCCACCCUACACACUCUCUUGCAAUCAAGCAUUUGAUUUUCACAAAGAAGGGCAACAAAUGUUUACACGUGUGUUGUGUGUGUUAAAGUUCUACAAUAGAUUUUUUUUUUUAUCGAUUUUACUAUAUUCUUAUUCUAACACUUAUUCUUAAACUUUUGCCUUUGUUUUGUGUAAAGCGUUUGAGUUGAAAUCUACAUCUAAAAUUAAAUCAUUGUCACCCCCAUUUGCCUCUAAGAAAGUAAGGAUUCGAACUUAUCAUAGUCUCGGUGGUUCUAAGAUAAAUGUUUGACCAGGUGAGUUUUUGGCAAAAUUUCGGUCCAUCAACGAAGAAGAUGGGCUUGCAGGAGAAAAACAGGCACAAUUACCGUACGGGUUCAAUCCGCAGGGAGUGCAAUAAAGGGCGCGUUUGAUAACGUUUCUGUUCAAAAAUUGUUCCAGGGAACAGAAAUAGAAAAAACCAUUUAUGUUCCGGGGAACAAUUUUUGACCAGAAAAACGCGUUUGGUAAACUUGUUUCGGGAAUAAAAAAUGAAAAGAAACACGUUUGGUAAAUUUAUAUUCUUUUUUUGUUUCUUUUAAUUUUUUAAUAUUUUUAUUUUAUUUUUCCUUUUUUCCUUUCUUUUUUCUUUUUUCUUUUUUCUUUUUUUCUUCUUUUGGCUGGUCGUUGGCCUUCGGCGACCGGCCGACGGGGGCCGGUAGCCUCGCCCAAAUCUGGCGAGGCCGAGUGUUGCCGACCCUCGACGGCCGGUUGCCGGCCAUGGUCGAGGCCGGUGACCGGCCAGAGAAAAAAGAAGAAGAAAAGAAGAAGAAAAAAAAAAGAGAAGAAAAGAAAGAGAGAUAAUUGUUCUUGAAGAAGUGUUUCUGGAACAAAAAAGUAACUUUUUUUUGUUUUUUUUUUUUUCGUUUCAAUUUUGUUUCGAGAACAAAAAAACAGUUUUUGAAAAAAACGCAAACAAACAUAUAUAUAUAUAUAUAUAUUUAUUUCCGGAAAAAGAAAACAAAAAAAGAACAAAAAAAAAAAAGAACAUUACCACACAGGGCCAAACUUUCCAAAUCAAAGUGCGAAAAACUCCACAGAAUUCGCAGCACGACCCAAUAUAAUAACCUCAUAAAUUUUCGGAAUGCGAUGGACUUUCCAACCCGAACCGACAUCCACGUCAGGUCACCGAGAGUCCAAGGGACGCGUGCACGUGGCGCGUUUGGCAAGGGUUAGCUUCGUCUCGUUGCAGUCCAGUUGCAGGGGUAAAAAACGCCCUUUAUUUUUUUCUCCAUGGUGCUGAUGCGACAUGAUAUGAUGAGAUGAGAUGAGAUGAGAUGAGAAUGAGGGGUGGGGCGCUUUUAUCAUCCGCGACGACCCAGGACCUUUCACCCCCACGCGACCCAUCGCGCACUCUUUCCUGGCAAUUACGACUAAGACCCGCAUCGUCUGCGCUUCAACGGGUGCUGGGAAAAAACAAUCCGCCGGCGGGAUGCGCCGCCCUUUUCGCGAUGACGAUCGUCAGGUGGUCUUUCGCCGGCCGACCUCGGCAUCGACCGUGCUCGGUAUGGGGCUGCCCGGCCUCUCAGUAACGACCAUUUCUUUUUUUUUGUUGUCGAAAAACCGGCCCGUCGGGCAUCGCCGGAGGACGGCAACUCGACCGGAGAAAAAAAGGGGAAGACGCGAUUGCGGCAUGGGGACCCUCGGACAAACUUCUCUCGUAUUCUCAUCCACCUCGCCGGACAAGAGCCGUCUCUCCCUCACUCAUCUCGCCUCGCUGCUCUCUUUGACUCUCGCUCUCUCGGUCGCCUCCGGCCUCGUCGAUCGCUCUCAACUCUCACGCCUCUCUCUCUCUCUCUCUCUCUCGCUCGCAGCUCGAUCUCGCAGUCUGCAAUUGUAAGUCCUCCCCUGAAAAUCGUCCAUUUGGUCGAUUUCGAUUUGGCGCUUUCACCUUGUUGGGUAGGAACUUCCUCGAAAGUUAAAGCUCACUCGGUGUUACAUUCUAGCCGCCGGAGUGGAAUUGCCUCUCUGGGUUCAUCUCGCUUUGUAAUUACCCGAGUCGGAUCGACGAAAGAUUUCGCAGUAAAGCCGUAGUUUUAGGGCAGGUUCCUUUAUGAGCAAGCUGCGACGGUGCGUGCGGGGAAAAAAAGGCAAUGAUGAGUGGCCUCGGAUCUUUAUAUAACCCGUGUUUUGCUGUCGCUUGCUGUGUGCUUGAUGCUCCUAUGUUGAUUGUCUGCUGAAUUUGUGUGGGUUGCUGGGCUUGAGGAUAAGUAACCGAGUGAAUGGUUUAUGUGACUAGUUGUCUGCUGAGUUCUAUGAGUUCUUGAGCGUAACUACAUGUUUUUAUUGUAAAUCGUUGGUUUUGUUGGGGACAUUUACACCGGUUCCAUGGACCCACCCAUGAGCAGCGCCGGACCGGUUCCCAUUUUGUGGAAACCGGCCCUCAGUGGGCUUUUCCGGGUUCUAGGGUGGGGACCGUCCAUCCUGAAACCGAUCAUACCUUCCAGCAUUUCCGUCUUAGGUGACAAUAUCCAGCGUAAUUUUUCUUUCUUUGAUUUCUUCUGCUUUUUGCUGCUAUCCAUCGUCGAUUUCUGUGCAUGCUGUUGUGUCUGCCUGUGAAAGCUUUCGUCUUUUCUUUCUUUAGGAAGAUAUCUUUGUAUGCUGCAUUUUCUGGGCUAUCCGAGAAUUUCUGUGCGUGGACUUAUAGAGGUGUGCUGUUGUGACUUUCAUUUGGUUAUUUUCUAGUUGUGAAAAAUGGGUAGUGUGUAGGUCGAGUGGUGACUUGACCUUAUUCAAAAGCAGAGAGUCACGUUGAAUUCAAAAUUUCAAAGAGUAACUCACUCUUUUUUAAUCUGCUUUCAACAGCCGUUUCCCAAAGACAGAGAGGUCUCUCUCUACUUUGAGUUGCAUUGCUUGCGAGCAGAAGAGUGUCCUCACUUUCCUCCAUGGCCAACAAUCCUUCACAGCUCCUCCCGUCAGGUCUGUAGGAUGUUUUAAUUCAUGUCUGUUUUUUCCUUAAUUUUCCAAGAUUCGCAGAAAUAUCUGGGGUGGGUGGGGCAUUUCCACUUAUGUUCAUCUUGCACUAAUGAAAUAUGCAGAGUUGAUUGACCGUUGUAUAGGUUCAAAAAUCUGGGUUAUAAUGAAGGGAGACAAGGAGCUUGUCGGUACUCUUAGGGGCUUCGAUGUGUACGUCAACAUGGUCCUCGAGGAUGUCACUGAGUAGUAUGUAUCUCUCUCUCUCUCUCAAAUUUACUUGUGCUUCAAGAUGCUUCUCGCAUUACUUCAGGUGAAGGGAAGCGAUUAUAUGUUCUUGACAUCAAUUUAUUAUCUGAACGGGCAAAUGACCUCAAUUUGUAUGCAUUAGCAUCAGAAGUUAUCAAAUCCGUGGUUUAUGAGGCCUCUCUGUCCUUAACUUGAUCUUAUGCUUCUAACUGAGAAUCGCUACUUGCACAAGCACACGCAAUAUGGCCUUGCCCAACAUCCAACCCAUCCCCCCUUUUUCUUUUCUCUCACUCCACUUUUUAUUGAGCUUGUAGAUGUAAACUGUGGAAGCUUCAUGUGAUUGUAAGAUUCUGUUUUCAUUCCUGCAUACAGUGAAAUAACUUCUGAAGGACGAAGGAUAACAAAGCUCGAUCAGAUUUUGCUUAACGGAAACAACAUAGCUAUCGUCGGAGACAACUUCUUCCUUCUGCUGAUAUAGAUAUGGCUAUCUGUUUUGAGCCGUUGCAUCGAUAAGGAUGUGGUCUUGCCUAAAGUUUUGGUUAUCUACUAACCAGUAAGCAACAAUCGCCUUAACAUAACAGAAACAAUCAGCCACUCAGAGAGAUUCCUUCCAAUAUGUAGACUGAAAAUGCUUAGACGAUAUAUUGAUGAAUUUUUAUUGGUCUUGAUUUUGUGGUAAAAGAGUCAUCAUUCCCUAUUCUUUACAAGAAUCUGGUCCUUUGUCUCAAUCAAACUUGUGUCCACCUCUUGAUAAAUAUAAAGCGUCAGUUGUGUGGCAGUUAUGUUAUUUUUUUUUUUUUUGGUCGAAAGGCAGUUAUGUUAUUGAAAAGCUAGAAUUCUGCUUUGAAGUGCUUGAACCACUCAAGUGAUGAUGCCUUCCUUUUUUUCUUAAUGCAGUUAGUCCCUGGUGGCUCCCCUGAUCUGGAAUGAGUUGGAUUCAUCCUCUAACCUCAGCAGUAGAUUAUGUAGUUACUUUAGUUGUUGGAAAUCCCAUCAGCAACAUCAUUUGAUUUUAUAACCCUCUUUUUUUGGGUUUAUGAAUCUGCAACCUUAGUUAAAUGAGCUCUAAUUAAAUUGAGCUCAUGUAUGAAUGUCUGAUGCAAAUAGCUCAAUGGAUGGUGCAUGAUCACAUCACCUUAUUAUCCAAUAUCUAUGUUUUGCUCAACUAGAGGGCAUGGCAGUUGUUGUUUUGCUUGGUGCAAGUUGUUCCUAGGAUUCAUCUUCUGGUACAUUGUCAUUGAAGAAAUUGUCUUGGCUUGUUUUAGUGUUCUGCAGCUUUUGGUCGUUGACUGCAUAACAACAUCUGUAUUUGCCCCCCCCCCCCCUCUUCUCUCUCUCUCUCUCUGUGAAAACGCAUGCACUUCUUUGAGCGUUAGGGAUGUGGAUCCGCUUUCCUGCACCAUACUCCCAUGUGUGUCUCAACAUAUGUCGGCUUUUGAUGCUUACUUCAUUCACAUGUGUCAACGGUUGAGAAGCGUUUUAAGGGUUACAGCAUGAACGGGAGCCCUAUGGUUGUUGAGUAUCUUCAUCCAAAAUAUGCUAUCUUCUAGGUGGCCUGCAAUUUGACUACCCUUUCUGUGUGAUGGUACAUUGUCAAUCUAAAUGCAGAAGUUCGAUACCGGAAUCAUACUGCAUAAUGAAGUAGAUAUUUUCAAGCAAAAAGCAACAAGUACAUAAGCAGAAUUCUAUGAUCUUUUCCAAAGUGGAUACUGGGAACACAUCAGGCCUAAGAUGUGCACUGUACUGCCUACAGCUAGAUAAAUAAUGGGCAUAUUUUGCUCCAAGUGAUCUCAAUUUUCCACCCAAGUAGCUGUAGUUGCUGCACGUCACGAAAAGAUCCAAGCUCAAAGCAAACUCAUUUGAUUUGACUAUAACUGAUUUUUGUCAUUUGUGUUUUCAAAGAGGUUGGCUAUUUGGGUGGAGCCUGUUUCUUGUUAUUGCGGUAGCAGUUCAGAGCUCACGAGGUGUGAUAUUGCUUGCGGAGUUUGGUUAGAGUGACAAGAUCAAUAGGCUGGAAAUAAAGGUGCUGAAGAUUCACCAUAGGCCUCGUCUUCUUUUUCGCUUGUUUUAAUGUAUAUUCACUGCUCCAAACGAGCUUGACUUGAAGCAUGUAAAAUUAGGGAUAUUUGCGGAGAACUUUGUCUAGGCAUGCAUGCAUUUUUCUUAUUGGAAGCUUUAUGAGCCAUUGAAUCUCAUUAUCAUGAACAAGGUUGCAGUUCCAUUCCGAUUUUGAUUACUUCAAACGCAUGGUCCAUGCGUCAUUGAUUCUCAAUGAAUGCCGUGUGUUAGAAUUCUCCAAAGUUGUAUCUAACGUCAAAUACCUAACAUGAUAUUUUGUUCUAAGACACUAACGAUAAAAGACAGCUCGUUCUGAGUAUCUAGAUAUGUUCUGAGUAUCUAGAUAUUUUCUCGUGACGGGUACGGUUCUUUUUCAUUCUUUCACUCAUUUCGACAUAACAUAUGGUGCUUUGGUUUGGGAAAGCAAAUGUAACUCAGUAAUAGGAAGAUUAAUCUGUGAUUAGUCAUAAGAGGGGAUCAUGAUUGUUCCUGGAUAUGAUAGAAACUCCCGGAGUGGUCAUUUAGUUAAUUUCAUUGUGGAAACCAAAUAGAAGAAGAAUUAAGUAUGCAGGGGAUGAGUGGAAGAAGAAUUAACCAAUUCAAUUAGGAGUGAUCUUAGUUAUAUGGUGUUUCCUUGACUAGUUCUUACUCAUAGAGUUAGUCUACACAAAAAGCAGUUUGAUUUGGCUUUAGGCUAUUAUUCUAGUUGCAAUUUGAUUUGGCAAAUAAAAUGCAUACAUUGCAAUCAAUCCUACAGAAUUUAUCAUGACAUAUCCUCCUGGAUCAAUGCCUCUGCCUGCCAAUUUGCAUUGCCGUUCUCCUAAAAAUCAUGAAAGGCCUGCAAUAGGAAGUUCCAUCCAAAAUUGCAUAGGUCCUUUAAUUCAUCCUGAAAUUGCAUUCCUCUUGAAAUGGAAAUCCUAGAUUCAAUGUUAAGACAAAGUUCCAUCCAAAAUUGGAUAGUGAUAUUCCAAAUGAAUCACAUUAGGCUAGUGAUACUUGCUGAACAAUUUGUAAAAAUCACAUUGAUUAAGAGUGAAAAUCACUAGAUUUCAAUUUGUAGUGAUCGAGAAAUCAAUCUCUAACUCUUAGCCUCUAUUCUGGCCUUCUUAAUAAAAGUAUGGCUAGUAUGAAUGUCGAGAUUUGAUUUUAUCAUUUUAUUUCUCUUUCGGGCUAAUUUAGAUAAUCGCUUGAUGAUCAUGCAUUAAAAAAUGAUGUCGCGAGUCCGAUUUCAAUGGGAUCCUGUUCCUGACCUUGUUUUCCAGGUGGGUCGGUCCGGUUCCUAAAUAUACCCGAUCCGGUUGCACACUCCUAGUUAAUAUUUUCUAAUUUAACUAAAUGGAAAGUACGGAAGUGUUGUAUACAUGUGGUUUUUGCAUUGCACCAAAAUAGAAUCAUUAGAUUAGGAAUUGCAUGAGAUUGGUCAAUGUGAUAUUUAUGGACGCCAGCAAUCUAAAGCCUAUGAUCCCUGUGCCUCGUUUUAUCAUGACAUUAACAUUAGCUACCACUCUUAGAAAGACAGAAAAAAAAAAAAAGACAGUUACAGCGUAUGGGCGGUGCAAGAGGCCUGAAACAUCACGGGAUUAGAAGGGCGAAGUCAGUCCACGAAGACUUGGACUGACAAUAGUCCAUGAUGAGCCAGCAUUGCUCCAAGAAGGAAUCAAACCAAAGAUUGACCCAAGUAUAAGGCACACGCUAAAGCAUUGACGGGUCUUCUUUUCCACGCUAGGAUCCGUCUUCUUUUUCUUUGCUAUAUUGCUUUUCUUUUCAUUAUCAAUUUGCUUUUUUGAUAAGAUUUUCCUUGGAUCCUCAGGGACGUUUGAGGUCUCUAGUCAGUUAAUUAUUUUGAUAGUUGAUUGAUUGGUGGCCACCGCUUGAUCAAGGAUUUUUUUUUUUUUUUUUUUUGGCCUAGCAGCACUUGAGAAGUAGGGCCUCUGAACUUUUUUCCAUGUCUGAAUUGUCUCCCAAAGAAAAGAUCAAGUGAUAUCAACGAAGGGGAGGCAAUGCUUGUUUUAUUCAUCAUUGUUCUAGCUUGUGAAAAGCUUAUGAUAUCGUACAUAUCAACGUUUUAUGAGUGACUUUUAUUGGUUAAAAAACGGUCGAUAAUGCAACUUACCUUAGUUAUUGUUGAGUUAGUAUUGUGAAUCUUCAGUUGUGAAGUAGCUAUUUUUUAUCAUAAAACAUAAAAAUUUUAGUUAUCAAGCGAAAUGUGGUAUACAUAUAGUUUUGCCUUGCAUUGAAAUCAAAUCAUUACAUUAAAAAUCGCAUUAUCUACCACUCUCCAAAGAAAAUAAAUAAAUAAAAGAAUAGCGUACCGGUAAGGGCAAAGUCAAAGUCUACGAAGACUUGGACUACCAACAGUCCAUGAUGAACCAGCUUUGCUCAGGAAGGAAUCACAUCAAUGAUUCAUUCAUUUGGUACUUUGUCCCUCACAUACGGGCAUUCAUGAACGUGGAGAUUCUAUCAAAAAGAAGGGAAAAAAAUGUCACUAGAUCACUUUGUCAAAUCCAACACCGACUCAUUGUUCUCCCAUUCACCCGCAAAAUUUACAUGGCAAUAAAUCGAUUUCCAAUUCUCAUAUUCAUUGAUAAUUUCAUUACACGAUUUCCUCCGAUUCUAUAAUUUCAUAUGAGAUUUGAAAAUCAAAUAAGAACAACCUCUAAGGAUGUCUUUAUGUCACUGAGAUUUUUUUUUUUUUUUGUGUGACCGGAAAAUGCUUUUAGCAAAUUCAAUUUCAGAGAAAGGGAAUCGGAAAAUUUUGAUUAUGGUGAAAACAAGUUGAAAAAGACUGAUUUUAUUGUAAUUGGUAAUAAGUGAAUCCACUAAAUGUAACUUGUAUCAUUAAAAGUAACAUGGAAUGACUAAUAAACUAGAAUUGAUAUCUUCUUCAUUUAUUCUAUAAUCCAUCAAAAUAACAUUGAUUACAAAGAAAAUAAGAUUGAAAUUAUGAAAUCAUAUUUGUAAAAUAUUAGAUAUAAUCGUGCUUUGGGAAUGUAGAAAAAUUGAGCAUCAAUAAAGUAUAGUCUUCUCACUUCAAAGCUUAGCAAGAAAACAAGGGUAAUGAUUCCUUCUUGCCAAGUCAUUUUUCUCUAGGCUUAUUGUUUUUAGGAUUAAUACCGCGAAGAAUCUCAAACUAGUAUAUCCGUGAUAAAUUUAUUCAAAAUUAAUUUUUUGAUCACCAAAAACUCAAAACUGGCAAAUUUGUGAUAAAUUUAUUCUCCAUUAAUUUCCGUUAAAUUGAAUAAAUAAUAAGAACAAACACAAACCGGUACACAUGUGAUAAAUAAAAAAUAAAACCCCAAACUAAUAGAGUGGUCAAUUGUAAAAAUUUGAUGUGGCUGUAUGUUUUGAGGCCUCUCUGCCCUCAACUUGAUCUAUGCUUCUAACUGAGAAAUGCUACUUGCACAAGCACACGCAAUAUGGCCUUGCCCAACAUCCAACCCACCCCACCCCACCCCCUCCCCCUUUUUCUUUUCUCUCACUCCACCUUUUAUAUAGGUUGUAGAUGUAAACUGUGGAAGCUUCAUGUGAUUGUAAGUUUCUGUUUUCAUUCUUGCAUACAGUGAAAUCACUUCUGAAGGACGAAGGAUAACAAAGCUCGAUCAGAUUUUGCUUAACGGAAACAACAUAGCUAUCGUAAGAAACAACUUCUUCCUUCUGCUGAUAUUGAUGUGGCUAUAUGUUUUGAGCCCUUGCAUCGAUAAGGAUGUGGUCUUGCCUAAAGUUUUGGUGAUCUACUAACUAGUAAGCAAUCGCCUUAACAUAACAGAAACAAUCAGCCACUCAGAGAGAUUCCUUCCAAUAUGUAGACUGAAAAUGCUUUGACGAUAUACUGAUGAAUUUUUAUUGGUCUUGAUUUUGUGGUAAAAGAGUCAUCAUUCCCUAUUCUUUACAAGAAUCUGGUCUUUUGUCUCAAUCAACCUUGUGUCCACCUCUUGAUAAAUAUAAAGCGUCAGUUGUGUGGCAGUUAUGUUAUUGAAAAGCUAGAAUUCUGCUUUGAAGUGCUUGAACCACUCAAGUGAUGAUGCCUUCCUUUUUUUCUUAAUGCAGUUAGUCCCUGGUGGCUCCCCUGAUCUGGAAUGAGUUGGAUUCAUCCUCUAACCUCAGCAGUAGAUUAUGUAGUUACUUUAGUUGUUGGAAAUCCCAUCAGCAACAUCAUUUGAUUUUAUAACCCUCUUUUUUUGGGUUUAUGAAUCUGCAACCUUAGUUAAAUGAGCUCUAAUUAAAUUGAGCUCAUGUAUGAAUGUCUGAUGCAAAUAGCUCAACGGAUGGUGCAUGAUCACAUCACCUUAUUAUCCAAUAUCUAUGUUUUGCUCAACUAGAGGGCAUGUCAGUUGUUGUUUUGCUUGGUGCAAGUUGUUCCUAGGAUUCAUCUUCAGGUACAUUGUCAUUGAAGAACCUGUCUUGGCUUGUUUUAGUGUUCUGCAGCUUUUGGUCGUUGACUGCAUAACGACGUCUGUAUUCCUCCCCCCCCUCGCCCCUCUCUCUCUCUCUCUCUGUCUGUGAAAACACAUCCCUCUCUCUCUCUCUCUCUCUGUGUGAAAACACAUGCACUUUGAGCGUUAGGGAUGUGGAUCCUCUUUCCUGCACCAUACUCACAUGUGUGUCUCAACAUAUGUCAGCUUUUGAUGCUUACCUCAUCCGCACGCGUCAACAGUUGGGAAGCGUUUUAAGGGUUAUACAGCACGAACGGGAGCCCUAUGGUUGUUGAGUAUCUUCAUCCAAAAUAUGCUAUCUUCUAGGUGGCCUGCUAUUUGGCUACCCUUUCUGUGUGAUGGUACAUUGUCAAUCUAAAUGCAGAAGUGUGUUCCCAGUAUCCACUUUGGAAAAGAUCAUAGAAUUCCGCUUAUGUACUUGUUGCUUUUUGCUUGAAAAGAUUAUACUUCAUUAUGCAGUAUGAUUCUGGUAUCGUCACAUCAGGCCUAAGAUGUGCACUGUACUGCCUACAGCUAGAUAAAUAAUGGGCGUAUUUUGCUCCAAGUGAUCUCAAUUUUCCACCCAAGUAGCUGUAUUUGCUGCACGUCACGAAAAGAUCCAAGCUCAAAGCAAAUUCAUUUGAUUUGACUAUAACUGGUUUUUGUCGUUUGUGUUUUCAAAGAGGUUGGCUAUUUGGGUGGAGCCUGUUUCUUGUUAUUGCGGUAGCAGUUCAGAGCUCACGAGGUGUGAUAUUGCUUGCGGAGUUUGGUUAAGAGUGACAAGAUCUAAAUAGGCUGGAAAUAAAGGAGCUGAAGAUUCACCAUAGGCCUCGUCUUCUCUUUCGCUUGUUUUAAUGUAUAUUCACUGCUCCAAACGAGCUUGACUUGAAGCAUGUAAAAUUAGGGAUAUUUGCGGAGAACUUUGUCUAGGCAUAGAUGCAUUUUUCUUAUUGGAAGCUUUAUGGGCCAUUGAAUCUCAUUAUCAUGAACAAGGUUGCAGUUCCAUUCCGAUUUUGAUUAGUUCAAACGCAUGGUCCAUGCUUCAUUGAUUCUCAAUGAAUGCCAUGUGUCAGAAUUCUCCAAAGUUGGAUCUAACGUCAAAUGCCUACCAUGAUAUUUUGUUCUAAGACACUAACGAUAAAAGAUAGCUUGUUCUGAGUAUCUAGAUAUUUUCCUGUGACUGGUACGGUUAUUUUUCAUUCUUUCACCCAUUUCGACAUAACAUAUGGUGCUUUGGUUUGGGAAAGCAGUUGUAACUCAGUAAUAGGAAGAUUAAUGUGUAAUUCGUCAUAAGAGGGGAUCGUGAUUGUCCCUAGAUAUGAUAGAACUCUCGAAGGGGUCAUUUAAUUAAUUUCAUUUCAUUGUGGAAACCAAAUGGAAGAAGAAUUGAGUAUGCAGGAUGAGUGGAAGAAGAAUUGACCAAUUCAAUUAGGAGUGAUUUCAGGUUAUAUGGUAUUUCCUUGACUAGUUCUUACUCACAGAGUUAGUCUACACAAAAAGCAGUUUGAUUUGACUUCAGGCUAUUAUUCCAGUUUGAUUCGGCAAAUAAAAUGCAUACAUUGCAAUCAAUCCUACAUAAUUUAUCAUGACAAAUCCUCCUGGAUCAAUGCCUCUACCUGCCAAUUUGCAUUGCCAUUCUCCUAAAAAUCAUGAAAGGCCUGCAGUAGGAAGUUCCAUCCAAAAUUGCAUCGGUCCUUUAAUUCAUCCUGAAAUUGCAUUCCUCUGGAAAUGGAAAUCCUAGAUUCAAUGUUAAGACAAAGUUCCAUCCAAAAUUGGAUAGCAAUAUUGCAAAUGAAUCACAUUAGGCUAGUGAUACUUGCUGAACAAUGUGUAAAAAUCGCAUUGAUUAAGAGUGAAAAUCACUAGAUUUCAAUCUGGAGUAGUGAUCGAGAAAUCAAACUCUAACUCUUAGCCUCUAUUUUGGCCUUCUUAACAAAAGUAUGGCUAGUAUGAAUGUCGAGACUUGAUUUUAUCAUUUUAUUUCUCUUUUGGGAAAAUUCAGAGAAUCGAUUCAUGAUCAUGCAUUCAAAGUGGUGUUGCGACUUCGGUUUUAACAGGAACCUGUUCCCAACCUUGUUUCUAAUGUACCAAUGUGGAGGAAAUUAAAACAAAUAGGCAAUCUUCUCCAUGGGAGGUUUGGAAACUCGGCACAUUAUGGAGUUGGUUGAACAAACUUGGCAAAUUUCUGCGAAAGAAAAGAGAAUGGACACCUGCCUUGUCGAGUACUUUUUUUAUCUGAUAAGAAGUGCUUCCCAUUCUGUUUAUAUAAAUCUUUUUUUUUUUCUGCAAAUACCCUUGUUCAGAUCUUCUUUGUUUUGGUUUGGUUUGGUUCAUAUGGUUCAAUGGCUUGAUUUGCUAAAGGUGAGGUCAAAUUAUAUAAAUUUCAAGUGCAUUAUUUUGUCAAUAUAUUAUGUGGUGAUUUAUCUGAGAUACCUUAUAAUUUGCUACUUUGUCUUACUGUAUUUGAAAUUGGUCAAUGCCCUAGUGUGCUUCUUUCAUGACAUUCCUUGGUCCCGGGUGUCUUCCUGUGGUUUUCUAGUGUUACAAGAAGUCGUGUCCAUCUUGGACAUCUACAAUGUCCUCCCACGCUUUUUUAUUUUAUUAAAUAGGACAAACUGAAGGAAAAGACUGACCCAUUCAAUGACUUUCGCAAUCACCCUCACUGAACCAACUUGAAUAUGAACUACGAUUAUUUGGAUUUCCUUUGCAUGCCAUGUGCACUUAGACUUGACUUUUUCCCCUUUUUUCUUCCCUGUCCAAUAUUUGUUCGUUUCUGUGUAAAAUUUUUCGCUUUCUUCAUGCAGGAGAAUGUCAACUUCAUUAUACCGUAUACGUCAAAGUAGCCAUUACAAUGUGUGUGAAAGUAUCUCAGCACUUAUGGCAUCACCUCUACAACAACAACCGACACAAAAUUGCGACAUGAAGAAGAUGGAUACCCUACAUCGGUAAACGCAUUUCCAAUUUGUUUUUUGGGUAAAGCAUGGCUCUUAAGUUGGAUUCAUAGAAUUUGAAGAGGAGGCGUUCCAAUUCUUAAUUAUACUAAAAAAUGUUUCCAGCUGCAAAUGGACUUGGUCUAACAUUAUCUAACUUGAAGGUAAAUCUGAAAUAAUGACCCAAAUUGUUUAAUUUUUUUUUUUUGGUCAAGACCCAAAUUGUUUAAUUUCAAAUUAAUAGAAGUGUGGCAAAUAUUUUUCCAAUUCUCAAAAUUUAACGUUGAAUAGUCUCACGUCCGCAAGUUCUUAUAUUUGCACCUAUUUUUUGACCUUUUGUAAUAGAUAACCCACAAGAAUUAAUUGAGAGAGUGAAGAGACAAACCUUCGAAAACAUUAUUUGAAAUAGAGAACUUAGUCAACAUUUUUUUAAUCAUUAUAGUCAUUGGAGAGGUUUCACUAAACUUUUGCCAAUCAUCAUAGAGGCUUCGAGUACAAUUGUGAAUGUGGAAAUGCUAAUUGAGUUAAAUUCCAAAUGAGAUGUAAUAGGUCACAUCAUGUUUGUGAGCUUAUUUACCACACUUGUUAGUGGCUCAAAGUUUUAAUACGAUUACACAUUGGUUUUGUGUACCUUGUUUUAGUAAUGUUUUGUAUAAUAAUCAGCACGAUGCAUGGAUUUAAUGCCCGAUUGCAAUGCCUUGUGCGAAGCAAUGUAUUGAUCACUAGGGAGUGCUUUGACGAAGAUCAAGCCCGACAAUUCCACCAGGCUUUGUUUUUCAGAGUUAAUUCGGGCCUGGGCCCAAUCAGCCCAUUAAACUGGACGGACCGGAGUUCACCUUAAUUAGGAUGGGGAAACGAACUUGUUUUGGAAGUUCCAUGUCUGCUUUUGUUGACUUUACUUUGAAUGAAUUAUUUAGGGGCAAAAGUAGAUUCUCAUCCGAAAAUUUCUACACCACAUAGUCCAGUGAUUUUCCACGCUAAGAAGCAUAGUAUUUGUCACCUUUGACAGGCUGCAAUGAUGCUGCAAGGAAGCAUCCUUAUUGACCGAUUUUGCAGCAAAACUGGCCCACGAUUGUCUGCAUAUUAUGGGGUAAAGGAACAAAGGUCUCAAUAAUUAAGGCCCACAUAUAUACAAGAAGUGUUUAUUUUCCUUUAAAAAAAGUAAGAGUUAGGCAGUGGGAUCCCACGUAUUUUCUCCUCUUCAUGAGCUUUUAAGCCAAAGGAGCAAGCUGAAUUUGGAUUCAAAUGGAUGUAGUCUGAUUUCAAAAAAAAUUGUGACAAAAGUUUCGUUUUACUAAAACAAAAGUUUGGUGGAGUGAUAACGAAAGCUAAAGCUAUCGGAGAACAACUUCGAUCUUCCAUCAAUCUCAAUUCAAGAAAUUUGAUACUUCCCAAUAGUCUUCUUUUUAAUUCAUCGAGUAAUCGUGAUUUAAUAACUUCAAUCUUAAUAUUUUUUUUCAUGCUAGGAUUUUUACAUGAAAAGACUUCAGAACUUAUGAAUUAUGAAAUGGAAGAAUUUUACACUUCUAAAUCUAGCAAGAUUUUUUUUUUUCUAUCGCGAAACAUGGAAUGUUUAGUUACCACAAAAUCUAUUCAAAAAACAGAAAAAUACUUGCAAAGAAACACCAUCUGUCCAGAAAAGCUUUUUUCUUAAAUAAUUUAGUCAAUCAUGUCAUCAAUUAAUAAAAAAGUUGGAACGAUCUAAUUUAAUUAAAUGGAAAUGGAAUAUGUCGUAUACAUAUAAUUUUGCAUUGCAUCAAAAUACAUUCACUAGAUUAAGAAUUGGGUGAGAUCUAUCGAUGUGAAUUUGAUAAGGAUGCCAACAAACUAAAACCUAAGCUUCAUGUGCCUUGUCUUAACGUGGCAUUAGCAUUAGCUCCCACUCUCGGAAAAAGAGAAAAAAAAUCAGACAGAACAGCAUACGGGCAAUGCAAGAAGACUGAAACCAAUGAUUGAACCAAGUCAAAGUCUACGAAGACUUGGACUACCAACAGUCCAUGAUGAACCGGCUUGCUCAAGAAGGAAUCACACCAAUGGUUGACCCAAGUCAAAGUCUACGAAGACUUGGAUUACCAAAGGCACGCGCUCAAGCAUUGGCGAGACUUCUUUUCCACAUCAGGAUGACCCCAUCUUCUUUUUCUUUGCUGUACUGCUUUAUUUCUUUUCACUAUUCACUUUGCUUUUCAACAAGAGUUUCCCUUGGAUUCGUCAAGGCAAUUUCGCCGUGAAUAACUAUUGAGGUCCCAAUGGGUUAAUUGCAACGAGAAUUUUGUAAAAUAACAUGCAUUCAACAUUUUACAAAACAGAUGACAUUUUAAUUACAACUGCUAACAAUAUGUGGAUUUUUUUUUUUUUAAUGUUGUUAAAAAUAUGUGCACUUUUACUCAAUAAGCACGAACUCUUCAUCAUUGAAGUUUAACCAAUAAAUCUAGGUUAUUUACAAGUAAUUUAAAUAAGUAUACUAAAAUUGACACAUUAAGUGAUAUGAUCAAAUCAUGAUUUAAUAUUUAGCAAGUGAAUAAAUAGAUUUGUGAAAAUAGAUUCUACUCAAAUGGGAAUUCGAUACUUCCCAAGAGUGUUUUUUUUUUUUUUACUCAUCAAGUCAAUUUGAUUAAUAACUUCAAUCUUAAGUGUUGUUUUUGAUCACACUCGGAUUUCGGCCUGAAAAGAGUUAAGAAACUUAUGAAUUUUGGAAUGGAACAUUUUUAUACCUUCAGAUCUAGUGGGAAAACAUGGAAUGUAUAAUAACCACAAAAUUGAUUUAGAAAAAAAAAAAUUGCAAAAAAAACACUAUUUGUUUAGAAAUAUUUUGAUUUUUAAAUAGUCUAACCAAUUGUAUCAUCAAUUAAUAAAAAAGUUAAUACCGUCUAAUUUAACUAAAUGGAAAGUAUGAAAGUGUUGUAUACAUGUGGUUUUUGCAUUUGCACCGAAAUACAAUCAUUAGAUUAGGAAUUGCAUGAGAUUGGUCAAUGUGAUAUUGAUACGGACGCCAACAAUCUAAAACCUAAGCUCCCUGUUAACAUGGUAUUAACAUUAGCUACCACUCUCAGAAAGACAAAAAAAAAAAAAAAAAAGACAGGACAGCGUACCCGGGGGGGGGGGGGGGGUGUGGACUGAAACAUCACGGGAUUAGAAGGGAAAAGUCAGUCUACGAAGACUUGGACUGACAACAGUCCAUGAUGAGCUAGCAUUGCUCCAAGAGGGAAUCAAACCAAAGAUUGACCCAAUUAUACGAAGACUUGGACUACCAAAGGCACACGCUAAAGCAUUGGCGGGUCUUCUUUUCCACGCUAGGAUCCGUCUUCCUUUUUUUUUUUUUUGCUAUAUUGCUUUAUUUCUUUUCAUUAUCAAUUUGCUUUUAUGAUAAGAUUUUCCUUGGAUCCUCAGGGACGUUUGAGGUCUCUAGUUAGUUAAUUAUUUUGAUAGUUGAUUGACUGGCGGCCACCGCUUGAUCAAGGAUUUUUUUCUUCUUUUUGGCCUAGCAGCACUUGAUAAGUAGGGCCUCUGAACAUUUUUCCAUGUCUGAAUCGUCUCCCAAAGAAAAGAUCAAGUGAGAUCAACGAAGGGGAGGCAAUGCUUGUUUUAUUCAUCAUUGGAUUGAUCAUAAUCCAGAUUGUGAAAAGCUUAUGAUAUCGUACAUAUCAACGCUUUAUGAGUGACUUUUAUUGGCUAAAAGACGGUCGAUAAUGCAACUUACCUUGGUUAUUGUUGAGUUAGUAUUGUGAAACUUCAGUUGUGAAGUAGCUAUUUUUUUUAUCACGAAACAUAAAAUUUUUAGUUAUCAGGCGAAAUGUGUAUACAUAUAGUUUUGCCUUGCAUCAAAAUAAAAUCAUUACAUUAAAAAUUGCAUUAUCUACCGCUCUCCAAAGAAAAUAAAUAAAUAAAAGAACAACAUACCGGUAAGGGCAAAGUCAAAGUCUACGAAAACUUGGACUACCAACGGUCCAUGAUGAACCAGCUUUGCUCAGGAAGGAAUCACAUCAAUGAUUCAUUCAUUUGGUGCUUUGUCCCUCACAUAUAGGCAUUCAUAAACGAGGAGAUUCUAUCAAAAAGAAGGGAAAAAAAUGUCAUUAGAUCACUUUGUCAAAUCCAACACCGAUUCAUCGUUCUCCCAUUCACCCGCAAAAUUUACAUGGCAAUAAAUCGAUUUCUAAUUUUCACAUUCAUUGAUAAUUUCAUUACAUGAUUUCCUCCUAUUCUAUAAUCUCAUAUGAGAUUUGAAAAUCAAAUAAAAACAACCUCUAAGGAUGUAUUUAUGUUGCUGAGAAUUUUUUUUGUGACGGGAAAAUGCUUUUAGCAAAUUCAGUUUUAGAGAAAGGGAACCAGAAAAUUUUGAUUAUGGUGAAAACAAGUUGAAAAAAAACUGAUUUUAUUGUUAUUGGUAAUAAGUGAAUCCACUAAAUGUAGCUUGUAUCAUUAAAAGUAACAUGGAAUGACUAAUAAACUAGAAUCGAUAUCUUCUUCAUUUAUUCUAUAAUCCAUCGAAAUAACAUUGAUUACAAAGAAAAUAAGAUAGAAAUUAUGAAAUCAUAUUUGUAAAAUAUUAGAUAUAAUCAUGCUUUGGGAAUGUAGAAACAUUGAGCAUCAAUAAAGUAUAUUCUUCUCACUUCAAAGCUUAGCAAGAAAACAAGGGUAAUGAUUCCUUCUUGCCAAGUCAUUUUUCUCUAAGCUUAUUGUUAUUAGGGUUAAUACUACAAAAAAUCUCAAACUAGUAUAUCUGUGAUAAAUUUAUCAAAAAUUAAUUUUUUGAUCACCAAAAACUCCAAAUUGGCAAAUUUGUGAUAAAUUUAUCAUUCAUUAGUUUCCAUUAACUUGAAUAUAUACUAAGAAAAAACACAAACCAGUGCACAUGUGAUAAAUAGAGAAUAAAAUCCCAAACCGAUAGAAUGAUCAAUUGUGAAAAUUUGAUGUAUGUUUUUGUUGAGUUGACUUUAAAUGAAUCCACCAUUUAUUUGGGAGGCAAAAGUCGAUUCUAAUCCCAAAAUUUUUGCAUCAUAUGGUCCAAUGAUUUUCCGCGUUAAGAAAUGUACAUAAUUGUCAACUUCGAUGGGCUGGAGCGAUGCUUCAAAGAGUCAUUCUUAUUGACCAAAUUUUGCAGCAAAUUGGCCCAUGACUCUCUCUGCAUAUUCAGCCAAUCCUGUGGCUUCUAUGUACAAUAACCUCCCCAAAAGUCAUUCAAAAAGAUCUUUCCUUUUUAUUUCAUUGAUAUUUCUCUGGUGAAGGAACAAAGAUCUUUGAUAGCUAAGGCCCGCAUCUCAUAUGAAAAGUCUCUCUUUUCCUUUAAAAAGAGAGGAGUUAAGGCAAUGGGAUCCUACCUAUUUUCUCUUCUUCCUGGAGCUUCUAAGCUGUAUCGGAGGAUGCUUAAUUUCAAUUUGAAUGCAAAGAAUUUUUUUUUUAAAAAAAAAUCUGCAACGAUACCUUUAAAGUUUCGUUUUACUAAAACAAAAGUUUAGUGGGGUUUAAUUAAAGUUAAAGCUAUCGGAGAACAAAUUUGAUCUAUGUUGGUCUCGAAUGGAUGAAUUUGAUAUUUCCCAAGAGUCUUUUUUGACUCAUUGAGUCAAUCGUGAUUAAUUGCUUCAAUUUUAACAUUUCCUUUUGUCAGAUUUGAAUGGACGUAUGAAAAGAUUUAAGGGCUUAUGAAUUUUGGAACCAAACAGUUUACACCUUUGGAUCUUGCAGGAUUUUAUUUUUGCUCCUUGGCUGCCCCGCCAUGUGUUUCCUCCAUGUCGUCCUUAUCAAAUACAAAUUAGUUCAUUUAGUCCACAUCGUACCCAUCGAAAUCUGAAGGUCUCGGUGGUGUUGGAGCAUUUGCAUCAAUCAUGCACUCCCCGGCAACUUUGAGGAGGUCAGCUUGUCAAUCACGUGGAAUGACCAUGGCCAUGGGCAUGGGUUAGGGUUUUGGAGGCGUGUGAGCAAAGAGCAGUGACAACGAGGGGAAAAUCAAGGAUUUGGAGCAAAGGAAGAAACGUGCGAAAAGGUCAAGGAAUGAUGGGGAAGGAGUUGUCGUGGGGUUUAAACGAAGUUUACCUAGAAGAGAAACUAAAUAAAAGGAAAGAUAAAAUUCUAAACCUGGCCAUGUUGAAUACUCUCGUCUCUUCAUCCAAAUAAAGAGAGACCCAUCAUAUGCUUUCUUCUCCCGAAAAAGAGUAAGACCAGAUGUGAAAUGCUAAAAUCAAGGUGGACAAAUGUGAGUCUCAAGCGCGAAGCGAAAAAGGAUAAAAAGCAAAGCAAUAAUUAUUCCGUCCCACUUUUCCUUUGAAGUUUAAAGUGUAGCCCGUUUCUUUUGCAAGAAAGACCGCGAGGUGAAUUAUCUCACUUCUCGGACCCUAAAAGUUGCUAAGUUCAGUUUUCUUUCGAAAGCUUAAACUUUGACUCUAAAAUUGCAAAGUUCAGAUUUUUAAGUUCAUCGCUGUCCAAGCAAGACACCAAUUCAUCUCAUAACAUAUUUUGAUGGGACAUAUUUUCGGUUACCAUAUAAGUUUGGGAUUUUGAUGAUAAAAGUACAAUUUGGAUAAUUGGUAAUAUGGUAAAUAUAAAGGUUAGGAUUUUUUAUGGAAUCACGCACUCAAUGUCGUCGAAUUUGCUGCCCACCCAUUGCCAUCACUAGCCCUCAACUUCAUGCAUCAAUCCACCGGCGAGUUAAUGCCUCGCCUGCUCUAGUGUGUCCUCUACACCUUCAUCUCUUUUUCUUUCCACGCAGAUCUCAUAACCUAUGUCCAUGGAACUCACGACUGGCAGAGGUCGCUAAUCUCACAUGGCCACAAAUAUGUGGUUGAAUGGCCAUGGCGUCAGGGCUUGACUUGGUUAAAUCGCUUGAUUUUUUUAGGAACGGAGAGAGGCCCUCGUCUCCAUUGAUCAUUAAAAUCAAUACCCAAAAAGAAAAGGAUAAAUAUAUUCCUCGCCAAGAGGGCAUUUGGGUAUUUUAGCAGCAGCAAAAAGACCAAACGCAAUUGAUAGGGGAGAGAGGCGAAGAGCAGGCAGAAAAGGAUAGGUGGCCGUGAUUCUGGUGGAUGGAAAGUAGAGCUAUCAACCGUCGGUGGUCACAUGACUCACAUGAGGGGACUGAUGAUAUCGGGUGUAGUGAAGCGGGAGCCAAUUAAUAGGAAGAAGAUGCUAAAUCAAUCCGGGGUCAUUCGAUGGAUGAGAUGGACUCUAUGGAGAAUUCACACAAUCCAUCCGUGCAUGAGUCGUGUUCACAUGCCUCGGUGCGUGAGCGGCCAAGAUUUGCUUGAAGAAGAGGAAGUGAAGAGAGGUGUAAUCCAGUCCACAUGCCGCAUUUGAUAGGGCAACCCCGAAAUGAUGGAUUUUCAGCCUGCACGUCCCCAUUGAAAUUGCCAUAUUUUCCAAAACUUCUGUUGCAUUUUUCAGGUUUGGAGAGCACGUAAAACGGAAGGAAGUGUUUUCCCCAAAACAGCCUCGAUACUUUUUCCCCGACUCGGACAUGCCCCUGUCCCAAAAGUGACACUACAAUUAUGUACAAGCAAAGCUGUGAGUGAGACCUGUGCCCUGUCAUUCCUAUAAAUUUGUGGGCAAUGUCGUGGGCAUUUUAUCGCGACAUGGUGUUGUUGGGUAAUUUAAAGGAAGAAGGAAGAUGCAAUGGACAUCGUGCGGUUCCCUUUCAGGGUGAAAGCAAACUCUACAACGACUAUAUUAUUAAAAUACGAACUGGCCCCCGACUCUCAACAUGGUUAGCCAAUCUUGUCUUCUACGUUUAAUGACCCACGGAGAUCUCCAUUUGUAAUUGUGGCUUCUAAAAGUGAUUUUGAUUUCGCAAUAUGCUGUACUGAUUUUGCUGUUAUACAGUUCAAUUUUUUUUCCUCUAAGAGAAGAUCGAGAGAGAUCAAUGGAGAGGAGGCAAUGCUUCAUGCAUUCACCAUGGGACCGUCAUCCAGGCCGUGAAAAGCUUAUGAUAUUGUAUGGACCAACUCUUUAUGAAUAACUUUGAUUGUCUAAGGAAUGGUUGAUACAAGUUGAUUUUGGCUAUUUUGGUUUCUAUCAAUUCUAUAUCGUAAAACAUUAAUUGCGAAGUGGCUAUUUUCUAUCGUGAAAUAAGAAAUAUUUAGUAGCCUCGGAAUUAAUUUUGAAACUUGAAAAUUACUUGCAUAAGAAAUACCAUAUGUUUAGAAAAACUUUGAUCUUUAAAUAGUCUAGCCAAUCAUGUCAUCAAUCAAUGAAAAAGUUGAUAAUGUCUAAUUUAAUUGAAUGAAAAGAACAAAAGUGUUGUAUACAUAUAGUUUUGCCUUGCAUCGAAAUACUAUCAUUAGAUUUAAAAUCGCAUUAGCUACCACUUUGAGAGGAGAGAAGACAGAACAACGAACGGGGUGGUGCGAAGACUGAAACAUCACGGGAUUCGAAGGGCAAAGUCAAAGUCAACAAAGAGUUGGACUACGAACAGUCCAUGAUUAACCAGCUUGCUUAAGAAGGAAUCACACCAAUGAUUCAUUUAUUUAGUACUUUUUGCCUCUCGGUUAGACUUCCAUAAUGUAGAGAUUUUAUUAAAAAAAUAUGUCACCAAGAUCACUCUGUAAGAUCCAACACUGAUUCAUGGUUCUCUCAUUCACCCCCCAAAAAUCACAUGAUAACAAAUCGAUGUUCAAUUCCCCUAUCCAUUGAUGAUUCUAUCUUACAAUUUCCUUCCAUUGAAUAAUAUCAUAUGAAAACAAACUUUUAGGUUGUGCUUAUCUCGGUGAGAAUUUUUUUUUUUUUGAAGUAGGAAAAUGUUCUAGGAAAUUCAAUCUAAAAAAAAAAGUAAACCAAAAAAAAAAUUUGAUUGUGCUGAAAACAAGUUGAAGAAAUUGAUUUUAUCAUAAAUUAUAAUAAGUGAAUUCAUUAAAUGUGGCUUGUAUAGUUAAAAGUAACAUGUAAUGACAAAUAAACUGGAUAUGACAUCAUCGUCGUUUAUUCUAUAAUCCAUCAAAAUAACAACGAUUACAAAGAAAUUAGGAUAGAUAUCCGGGAAAAUAAUUCUUCUUUCUAAGUCAUUUUUCUCUAAGCUUAUUUAUUACUUUUAGCCCAUGGUAAACAUUUUUAUGGAUCGAAUAGCUUUACGUGAUUCAAACAUUGGAAAUUACAGAAACAAAUUUCCAAAUAUGAUUUUUUUUUCCAUCAAACUAAGAAGGAAGAUCUUGAGGGGCAAUUCCUUUUCUUUUUUUUUUUUUUUUUUUUUUUCAUUUUUUGAGAAAAGUACUACCCUCCGGAACAAAGUUGUAUGAGUGUCUACACGACAACGUUGUUGAUGAAUCCAAACCAAAAAAAGAAGACGUUGAUAAAUGUCAAAUUUGUACGCCGAUAGACCAUAUAAUUGAUGCCAAUAAAGAAAUCCAAAGUGAACAAUCAUAUCCCUUCAUAUUCUUUCUUGUCCCGAAAAGGAGAAGAACAAAAGUGAAAUGCCGAAAAGAAGGUUGACAACAUAAGUUCUCAAGCGCAUAGAGAAAAAGGAAAAAGCAAAACAAGAAUAUAUUCCAUCCCACUUUUGGUAAAGUUAAUAUUCCAUUUUCACGAAUGAUAAUUAUUAUUUAUAUUACUGGAAGUAAUUAAUUAAUGAAGACUGAAACAUCACUGGAUUAGAAGGGCAAAGUCAAAGUCUACAAAGACUUGGACUACCAACCGUCCAUGAUGAACCAACUUUGCUCCGAGAAGUAUUCACACCCAUAAAUGAGCCAAGUCUCCGAAGACUUGGACGACCAAAGGCAAUGCUAUUGGCGGGUCUUCUUUUCCACGUUAGGAUUGAACCAUCUUCUUUUUCUUUUCUUUUAUCGCUUUUUUCUUUUCAUUAUCACUUUGCUUUUUUGACGAGAUUUUCCUUGGAUUCUCGCCGUGAAUGAUGGCUGUGGUUCCGGUGGGUCGAUUACCUUGAUAGUUGAUUGGUAAGCGGCCACCAUUUGAUCAAUAAUUCCUUCUUUUUUUUUUUUUUUGCACAGCAGCACUACUCUUUGAGGAUACAGAUGAGUUGGGGCUUCUAUAAGUGGGCAAGAGCCUCAACCCCGAACACAAAAGGCACCGCUACUGCUCGCACCACUCCGUCCACCAACCUUCCGGCGGAUUCACGACAGACACAAGUGAUCGAGCCUCCAGUAGCUCCAGGUUCGUAGGUACCGUCUAUGUUUAUCUUUAGUGUUUCAGCCUGCGGUGGGUUCCAAAAUCGUGACGAUCCGUCGCCGGUCUUACUAGAUUCGCUCGAUUUUGGGUUCCAUCUGUUGAAACUCUUCAACCUAGCUAAAGCGGCUCAAGCUCAUCUUCUGCAACGUCUGCUGAGAUUCCUUCUCAAGUCCUCUCUCUCUCUCUCUCUCUCUCUCUCUCUUUCGGUGGGCGUUGCGAGUUCUUGCUUUUUGUGUACACGAGUCUCGCUGUUUGUGGGUUCGCGGGUGAGAUCGAGUUUCGUGCUUGAGAUGGGUCGGAUUCUGCCGGCGUCGGGAGAGAUGGGUCGUCGGCGUUUAGGCGUUUGGUUUCCGUUUUUUCCGGUUGUUGCUCUGGUUUUAGCUGGUUCCGUGCAAUCUGAGCUCUUUGAGCUCGAGAGGUCGUGCCCCCUCCUCCGUCUUCCUGUGCUCUCGCCCCCCGCGAGAAUUUUGCUUGAGCUGUGGUUUGAGAUCUUGGUUAGGCUUGAGUGAGAAAAGUAGGGAGAGCUGUCGAAACAGAAAGAAAGAAAAUAGAGGAACCCCGAUGCGGGAUGACACGAGUGCGAUUAAAUUUGAGUCGAACGCUACUUAGUGCAUUGCGACGUUGUUUUCUGGAAUUCGAGCUAACUUUAGUUUGGAACUGAUGAUUGACGCGGCGACGGUGACAGGAUAUGACUUGCGGCCCAUUCGGAGGCUUUGAGAAGUUUGCAGAUUGUGGGAAGAUUAGCAGGAACUAAUGAUUAUUUUAGAAAUUAUACAACCGCCUCCAAAAUAUGAGAGCUUUACCUCGUGCAUUGUCAACUUUGACAAGCUGGAGUGAUGCUGCAGUGAAUCAUUCUUAUUAAAUAAUUGUAGCACACUGGCCCACGACUCUAUGCAUAUUUAGCUAAUUCAGGCUACCAAGUUUAUUGACCUAUAGAGAUUUCCAUUUGUGAGUCAGGCUUCUAAACAUUUUCCAUCUCUGGCUGCCAUUGCUUUUGUUGAUAUGCUGUUUGGUAUUUCUUGAAGAUCAUGUAGAUGGAAAUCAUGCGGAAAAACAACGUACCUGUAAAAAUUGAUGGAAUAGCAGGGAGCGCUUCUUUUACUCACACUGCGACAGAAGGUCAAGGAAUGGCUAAUUCAUCAGGAUAUGAAUAUGAAGUAUUCUUGAGCUUCAGAGGAGAAGAUACUCGAACAGGUUUUACCGACUUCCUUUACACUAGUAUGAUAGAUGCGGGAAUCCGCGUCUAUAAGGAUGACGAAGAGCUCCGCAAGGGGGAAAAUUUUGGCCCGGAACUUCUCCGAGCAAUUAAUCAAUCGAAGAUCUCAAUACCUAUAUUUUCGAAAGGUUAUGCCUCUAGCGGAUGGUGUCUCAAGGAGCUAGUCCAGAUGGUCGAGUGCCAAAAAACUAGGGGACAAAAGAUUAUGCCCAUUUUUUAUGAUGUAGCACCUUCAGAGGUUCGACGCCAAAUUAAAGGUUAUGGAGAGGCCUUUCUUACACAUGAAAACAAGAAGCGAUAUGACAAAGAGACUAUGUGUAAGUGGAAGGCUGCUCUCACCACAGUUGGAGAACUAGAUGGAUGGGACUUGCAAAAAAUGGCCAACAGGUAAUUGCCUCUAUCAUUCCAUUUGAUGUGCCUUGUCCCAUUAAAACUUGAUAUGUUUCACUGUUGAAAUUGGAUUUUAUGCUAUUGAAACUUUACCGCAUAAAUCACUCGAAAUAAUGGGACAAUCCCCAUUUUGUCCUUUUUCAUUGCAAACAAUUUUUAUUUUAUUUUAUCUUAUUUUCAGUUAAGGUCAUUCGUUAAUCAUAUGUGCCAAUGCUAAUUCAUUUACAAUGAAGUAAAUCCUUGUAGAAAGCAUUACGAAUAGGUCUUUAGUUUUCACUUUGGUCUUGUUAGAACAUAACUUGGUUCAACACAGUUUUCUAACUCAUUGCCAUUUGACCUCCAACAAACACUAGGAAAGAAGGUGAGAUGGCAAAAAUAAUUACCCAGAAGGUUUUCAAUGAAUUGAAAAAGGCUUAUUUGGUGGUAUCAAACAACUUGGUUGGUGUGGACAGUCAUGUGGAUAAAAUCAUGGAAGAGAUAGGUGCUCAUAUAAAUGAAACGUGGAUCGUAGAAAUUCAUGGGAUGGGUGGCGUUGGAAAGACAACAAUUGCCAAAAUCAUAUACAAUGAGCUUUCCAACAAGUACAACAAUUGUUGCUUCCUUUCCAACAUCCAUGAAACGUCAAAGCUCAGGGGCAUUGAGUACUUGCAGCAGCAGCUCAUCUUCGACAUCCUCAAGAUGAAAGGGACGGAUAUAAGAAACAUUGAUGAAGGGAUUAAGACCAUUAAAGAAAGGUUGCCUAAUAAAAAAGUCCUCCUUCUUCUUGAUGAUGUUGAAGAAAAGGAUCAUAUUGAUGCACUUGUCGGUAAGCGUGAUUGGUUUGGUGAAGGGAGCAAACUUAUUGUUACUACAAGAAGGAAAGAUGUUCUCUGUGUUUUGGAAGUGGACUGGAGGUAUGAGCUUACGUGCUUGGAUCCGAAUCUAUCUCUUCAACUUUUCAGCAGACAUGCCUUUAGAAGAGAUUCUCCUUUAGACGAGUAUAUCAACCAAUCCAAAAGGGCGAUACACAUUGCUGGAGGUCUUCCAUUAACCCUUGAAGUCAUAGGUUCACUUUUAUCCAGCAAAAAUAAAGAAAUGUGGGAUGCCACAUUGAACUUGUUAGAAAGUGUUCCUCAUGAUAAAGUUCAGAAUAAGCUGAAAAUAAGUUAUGAUGCAUUAGAUUAUCGGCAUAAGCAUAUAUUCCUUGAUAUAGCUUGUCAUUUCAUUGGAUAUCGCAAAGACAUUGUGGUUAUUUUCUGGGAUGCAUCUGGACUUUUUUCGGAAGCAACCUUGGAAGUUUUGCAGAACAUGUCUUUGAUAAAAAUUGAAAAAGAUAAUAAAUUGUGGAUGCAUGAUCAACUUAGAGACCUCGGAAGAGAAAUGGUUCGUCAAGAAAGUAAGAUGAAAAUUGUGAAGCAACGUUGGGUGUGGAAUCCCAAGGAAGGAUCGGAUCUGCUGAAGAGCCAUGAGGUAAAAUUCCCUAUAAAAAUAAAUCUCCAAGUUACUUAUGGACAUUUUCUUUUCAAAAGGAAGCAAUUAUUUUUUGUAUUCUCUAGCACCGUCGCGACCUAAUCUCUUUUAAGAUUAAAGGAAUAUAAGUACUCAACUCAACCCCUUAAAAUUUUUCCUUUGGACAGAUGAAGAAAAAAGUUGAAGCUCUUCAUUUCAAGGUUGACGAUCAGCACCAUUUUACCUAUGAGGACUUUAAGAACCUACCCAAUCUAACGUUCCUUAAAUUGGAGCAUCUUUGGCGCGAAAGGCCAUUAAAAUUUUUUUCAGCUAAUUUAUUCCAGAAAAAUUCAAAUCUCCUUCCAAAAUUACAAUGGCUUUCUUGGCAUAAUAUUCACCCAACAUUUGAGAUUACAAAUUUCUCCAUGGAUAAUUUGAUUAUCCUCGAUCUAUCUCAGAGUAAAAUUACUCAUGAUUGGAAGGGGUGGAGCCACAUGAAGGUAUGUUAUAUUCUAGACAACACUUAUUCUUUCGCCUUAUUAGAUUCAAAAGUAAACUUUGCAUGAUUUUUCUUUUACAGGUGAUUAAAAAUUUGAAAGUUCUAGAUCUGACCAAGUGCGAAUGCUUGAAGAUAACCCCCGACUUAUCUGCUCAUUCAAAAUUAGAAUGUUUGAUCCUAUUGGGUUGUUCUUCGUUAAUCGAAAUUGAUAGAUCAAUUUGUCAGUUGAAAUGCUUGGUUUUCUUAGAUGUAAGUGAUUGUCAGAGUCUUCAGAGGCUGCCAAAUGAGCUGGGAGAUCUUGCAAGCCUCAAAUACCUAUCUCUAAAUGGAUCCUUGUGUUUGAAGAGGCUUCCGGAGACAAUCGGGAAUUUGAAAUCGCUGAUUGAGUUGAACAUGAGUGGCGUGAGAAUCAAAGAACUACCCGAUUCCAUCAAAAAGUUGAAGAAUUUGAAAAUAGUGAAUAUGAAAUAUGUUGAGAUAAGCAAAAUACAUGAUAACUUUUGGACAAUAGAGAAGCUUGAAAUAACAGAACUCAUCUACUAUAAUUAUGAUGACAAGCACGUGGCAAUUGGUGAUUGCAUCUAUGAGAAUAAAUCCUUGACGAUCUUGAGAUUGUCAACGGCGGCGACAAUACACGCCCCACCAAGGCUCCCUGAAAGUCUUUUGGAAUUAGAACUGAAAUGGUUGAGGGAGGACACGUUUCCGGAUCUCUCAAAUCUCACUAACUUAAAGGUAUUGGAUCUGACCUUUGGCCCACCUAAUUGUGAUGGGAAAUCUGAUGGGCUUCUGGAAGAACCGAUACCACCGUGGAUUGGGAACUUAACCAAAUUGGAAUCUCUGAAAAUCUGCUUUCCCUGAUCGACUCAUUGACAGACCUCAGCCUCCCUCCUCAUCCGCGUCGCCUCCCGAGGCUUCCCUCAAAUUUAUCCUCCUUACUUCUCGAGGGUUGCGUCUCACUUUGCUCGAUGGAUCUAUCGAAUUUGAGGAAACUAUCGUCUCUCAACAUUUCGGGGUCUGCAGUUGCAGAGAUUGAAGGCCUUGGUUGUUUGGAGAACCUACGAGAUUUCCACCUUUGGUACGUCGGACAGCUGGUGAUGCUACCUGAUCUAAGCAAGUUAAACAAGCUAAGGAAUAUUGCAGUAUGGGGGUGCGGUAAUCUGGUUGAGAUUCAAGGCGAACUACCGCGGUUUUUGGAUUAUCUUUCAAUUGAUUACUGCGAUUCGUUACGGGAGUUCCCCGAUCUGUUCAGCUUACCCGAUCUGUUCAGCUUAAUGGGUAAGAAAGAUGUUUGUAUGCAUAUUUGCAUUCAGGUGUUUGAAUAUAAACGUAGACAUCGGUUGCUGGUUCGUGGCUUUAAACAGAUGCAGAUCCCUGAUCUAAGCAAUUGGAACAGACUAACAAUUCUUUCAGUAGUAUCUUGUCAUAAUCUGGUUGAGAUUCAAGGCAAACUACCCCAAUCUUUGGAAACAUUGUAUAUUAGCAGCUGUAAAUCUUUAAAGAAGUUGCCUGAGCUGUCAAGCUUGAAUAGACUGCGAGAGGUUACAAUAUUACGUUGUGGGAAAUUAGCAGUGGAGGAAAUUUCUCGGCUUUGCUCGGAGAAGUCAAUCAAAUUUGUGGGAGAAGAAGAUGAAGAAGACGAAUCUGUGGAAGAAGACGAUGAAGAAGACGAAUCUGAUGAAGAAGACGAUGAAGAAGAUGAAUAAGUGCACGUUGCACUUGGAAGCUUUUUGAUGCGCGACCACAAAUUGUUCCCUUGUGUUCAAACCUUAAACAAAUUGAGGUAAGUACCAAUGUUUUCCUUUUUUUGGCAAUCAAAUUCUUUCACAUAUAUGAACAGAGAAGUUUUGCAUGCACUUUUUAACGACCUUUUAGCGGAUUCUUGUCUGAAAAUCUGAUGAAGGUAUUUAAAUUAUGAUGCCUCCGAACAGCCAGAGGGCUCUUAAUUAUGUACGAGUAUUUGUGUUCUUUUCCUAGUUUGGUUUGGCUUUUUUAGCUACAUUUUCUUAGGAUGGUUUCUCCUAGAGGUAUGCAUGUCGAUUGCAUCAUUUUUAUUUGAUAUGUAACAAAUUAUUAGAGACCGUUGUUGAUUUGCUGCUUCACACAUAUUUUGAAAUUGAUAACCUCACUUCACAAGGGAGAUAAAUUCGCUAUGCCGUAAACAAAUAGAUGGAAUGUGUGUUGGAAGGUCAUACAAAUAUGGUUCUCAUUCUGGGACUUUACAGCACAAUCAACUCAUUGUUGCGACUUUGAAGUAGACAGACACUCUGUAUUGCCAUGCUUAAGUUCAGUUUAUUUUUCAGGAAACGUGUGCUUCUUAGUGCGAUUUGCAAAUGUUAUGGAGAAGUCAUAAAUGAGGGAGCCACCACAAUUCUGAGAUUACCAGUGUGGCAGCACUGGCUAAAGCAAUAGCACCAGAAUAUUUUAUCUCAGCAAUGAUGCCUUCAAUCAUAGCAAUCUUUGAUGGGCACACUGACAAAAAUCAUUCUGUGCAGCAAACGUCGCCUACAGGAGUAACUGAGAGAACGCAGCAUUCGCUGUACCAGUAGAGAAGGAGCGCCCUUUUGCUGAGACUUGAGAAUUGCACUCACUUACAAAAGAUUGGUAAGAAAAAGAGAGCACCUUCCCUUGGGGCUGCCUUCAGUAAUAGAACUGUGCAUUCUGAAGCAAUAUUGGCAUUGUUUCUGUCAUGAGAUCCACUCAAUUCCAGGAAAACACUGGCACUGCCACCAAAGUCGGUUAUGCGUCAUAUGCUACUCGCCACCUCAGAAGAACUUUCAUCAAGUAGUGGUGGCUCUUCCAUGUACACAAAACCUUUCAUAGAACCUAGCGAUCAUAAAAGAAGAGCUUUACACGAGCCAAGCGUCAAUUUGAGAAAUUCUUCCAUAUUCUUCGCAUGUACAAAAUCCAAAAGGAUUCCAAUCUGCCAUACUACUUUCAGUUGAGAAAGCAACUUGGGAUCCAUUUCUGGAGCCAAUGCCAGAGCCACGCGCAGCUCAACAUCAUUCACAUUUGCACAGGACAGAUCAUCAAGUGAAAAUCUGAAGCAGUGGCUGACUGUCUAUGGUUGUAGAAUCUCAAAAUUUUUAGUCAAGUUGAACUCUAUGAGCAUCAGGAGGAGCUUCUGCACACACAUUGGUAUCGGGGUCCUCAUCCUCAUUCAAGGUCAGUCAAAGAGGGAGAAAUUGCAUCUAGGAUAUGGAUUUCAAGCCUGGCAGCUUAUGCUCUAACUCUGGAGUUUUGAUUAGGAAAACGAACAUUGCAUCAAACGGAAUCUUGAGGGACAGAAAUCUGGCAUCACCAUCCUUGUUGGCCUUAUACAGAACAUCCAGACUCAGCAGAAUCCCACAGAUGAAUACGUCAGAGCUUUCAGGAAUCCAGUAUGACUCCUCUGUGAUGGACUCAACGCUUGCAUUUUGAGCCGGCAAUGCAGGUUCUAGGAACGGAUCAACGUUGUGCUCUGCUUUCCUUGUUCAAUCCUGAACUUCUCUUGGAUUGUGUUUGUAAUUAGUGUGCUGAAUUAUGCUUCGUGUGAAUGUGAACCAUCUAAGUUUUGCCUGUCCAGUGUUUGGUGAUCAUGUGCAAUUUGGUGUUUGAUGAAAUGAGCUAUGUGCUUGAGAUUGCGUGUGCUGGAUUGUCACCUUCGAAGCACUUGAAGCUAAAGCUGAAGCUGAAGCGCAAGGUCUAUUGCAAUGGCUUCCUCUCUCUCCGCACCCCCACAGGCAAGGUACCUUCGCUUUCACUACUAAUCUCUACCACUGAUGUCCAGCUCAACCCGAUCAGCAAUUUAGUUGCCUUUGAUUGGGCUAGGACAUGAUUCAGUUUGAUUGGCUAAUCUAUGUCAAAAUGGCAGUGGCUGUUAAAUUAUUACUGUUUUCUCCCAAAUUUAGCUUGCUCGAUCGAACUGAACAGCGGCAGCUUGAUGCUGCUUACGAUUUCAUUUUUUCUAUCAUCACGGAUUGUUCUAUUUUGUGCUUCUGGUUGUAAUACUCGCCGUGAUUGAGCUUGUUUUGAGUAGAUUAGUCCAUGCUGUGAUUGAUGGUUGGAUAAUGCCGUAUCAUGGCAGCGAGCAGCUGUUGGAAUGCAGGAUUUUGAAGAAUGAUGAAGUUAUUUGUUCCGGUGAGUCACUGAUUUCAAUGCUUAUUUGGUUGAUGUUGGAGAGCCUGGAGGAGGACAAAAGCCUCUAGAUGAUACUUAUAUUCACAGCCUGAUUAUUAUUUGGCAAUUGGAUUUAUAAGUUCCCUCUGCCGAGGGUAUUCCUUGCUUGUUUUCUUCAUAGUUGUUUUGUUGGUUCAAAUCAUCAGUAGGUGCAAUGUGAUGAAUGUGAAGUUCUUGGGUUUGGUUUGUUAAAAGUCCAAAUGGGUAUAUUUUACUUAUUGUUUGUCUUGGAAAAAAGAGCGUUGCUUGCAUACAAAUACGCGUAGACCCUACUUUGUGAUGCUUUGCUUGUUGCUUGUGUGGGAAAUUAAAUAUUUGUUCUUUUCCUUGCUUCAAACAGCUACUUGGGUAUGGUUCAUGUAUUGAUUGAUUUAGAAUCUAGAUGUAAACAUUUGCAAUUGAUCUACUGUUGCUUUUGUUCAAUGCAACUGAUCUUUUGAAACUCCAUUUUUUUCGUUAAAGUUUUUCCUUUUGUUAACCUUACUUUCAAUUGAUGCAGAGCUUUGGUUGAGUUUUUGGAUAUGAGGUUCAGUAUAAUCCCCUCUAUGAAUUACGAGGUGUGUUUUCCUUUUAGCUACUUAAAUCCUUUGGCAUGGAAUCUACAGUUGUAUUGCCUACAUAACUUUUCAUUUUCUGCAGAUGCUCCUAAUUCCUCAGAAACCGAAAAAGAAACACUGGUUAUUUUAGAAGAAACUGGUCGCUUAUGAUGUUGCAACCUGCCGGAAAUGGGAACCAAAUUGAUACCGUCCCUAUACCCUACAUAUAUAGAUUCUACAUCCCAAAUAGCACAGCUUGCUUUACAAUGCCUCCAAAUGACUCCUAACGAGCAGCCUUCGAGAUCUAAAGUCGUGGAAGAACUGGAAUCAGUAGACACUGGCAUCGCUAAUAGAAUAGAAGGGGAUAGUUAAAUUCACUUAUUAUGUCAUUCUUACUUUAUGUGAUGUAAGUCAAAGUCUGUUGUUCCACACUUUUCCAUUUUCCCGGGAACAAUCCCGGGCUUUGAAUGUUCAUUUCUAUUGUACCCAGCAGUUACUAGGAGUUGUCUUCUCUUGUAAGUUCUUUGGAAUAUCCAUGACAUGUAUAUUAAUAAAUGCACCGCUUUGUGAAUUGAGAUGUGAUUGUACUUAUGUUUAUGAGAGGAACAGUUCUUUAAGGCUAAUCCUCGAUCUUGUUGGCAAUCUGAGGUCCACAGAAGAAGUCCGUUGCUCUUCAAGAGCCCGAGCUCUUUAAUUUUCUUACAUGCUUGGGCUUUGAACAUGCGCAAAAGGUCAUUUUGGUUGCCAUUACGAAUGUGUUUAUGUGGUGCUUGCUCUGCAAUCAAUCUCCAGGAAGUGCUAGGCGGUUCAGUCCAUUCUCAUGGUAUUUUUGAGCUAUGAGACAUGGUUGGGGAAAUUGAUGGGAGUCAUUUAAGGCAAAGUGCUGCUCAGUUGUCCAUUCAGAAAGAGCAAGAUAUGACUUUUGGUGCUGUCAUGUUGCAGCUAAGACAUGUCUGAUUGUUUUGUGCUAAUAAGAGACAUUUCUUAUCAUAUGCCAGUUUUAGAUAAAACUUUUCAUGUGACAUCAUAAAAGACUAAAUUUUAUUUUGGGUUAAUACCCUGAAAAACCCCAAACUGGUACACAUGUGACAAAUUUAUCCAAAACUAUUUUUUUGAUCAUAAAAAACCCCAAAUUGGUACAUCCGUGACAAAUUUACCCCGACUAACUAUAAAAAAAAAAAACCCUAAACUGGUAUAUUUAUGACAAAUUUACCCCAAACUAAUUUAUUCGGCCGCAAAAAACUCAAAAAUGAUAAAUUUGUGACAAAUAUACCCUCGCUAAAUUGGAUUAAUACUACAAAAAAAAUCACAAAAAUUGUAAACUGUGAUAAAUGGAGCAUAAAAUCUUAAAUUGGUAUACCAGUUAAUUGUCACGUGUCAUUUAACUUAAUAAUUUAACAUUAAAAUUUAACGAAAACUAAUAGAGGGUAAAUUUGUCACAAGUGUACCAGUUUGGGGUAAAUUUGUCAAAGGUAUACCUGUUUUGGGUUUUUGGUGGUCAAAAAAAUAGUUUGGGGUAAAUUUGUCACAAGUGUACCAGUUUGAGGUUUUUCAGGGUAUUAAUCCUUUUAUUUUUAUAUUCUCAAAUUUAGAUAAGACUUUCCAUAUGACAUCAUAAAUUACUAAAUUUUAUUUUUAUAUUCUCAGUAACUUAGCCCAUUGGUUAUUGUACUUUCUUCACUAUUUGUAAAUCUAAGGGCCCUAUUAUUUUCGACACUUCUUAUGUAAUUUUUUUUUUUGAACUUGUUGAUAUGUCUCUUUUACAUCACUCUCAACGCGAAAAUAUAAAAGUUGCCAUCAUUUUGUUUUUUUUUUAAAUUUUAAACAAAUUAAAAAAAUAAAUUGAUUACACUAAAGAACUUUCCAAAUAUAUGUUUAUCAAAUAGUAAUUUCCCAAUGUUACUUCUCAAGUCAUUUUAAAUUGCAAAUUACUAAACAGUCUUUGCAUUUCACAGAACUCCUUUAGGCUAAGGGCCUUUACAUUAGCCAAAGGCGUUCCCCAAAAGUCAAAGCAAACACACCCAUAAAUGGGUACUUGAAAUUGAGCUUUAUGCAGACCUUUUUGCUUGAUUGUUGUUGCCCUGCUAUGUGACCUGCUGUUUUGUGUAAAUCAGCGAUAUAGUCGUCAUCAUCAUGGCUGAAGCGCUCUUGGAGAUCCGGCCUCAUGAAGUCAAGUUUAUCUGUGAGUGUAUAUAGUGCUGUGCGUUUGGUUCAUUUUUAUUUUGGAGCUACAUUCAAUUUGUGUUGCUUGCCUCCUGUUUUACUAGGCAAUAAGUGAAGGGGAUGAUAUUUCUUUGUUCUACAAUAAUUUGCUUGAGAAUUUGUGGUUCAACAUCAUAAAUAAUGGUAAAAGAAAUAUCUUAAAUAAGAGCUUCAAUGGCGAGUAUGAAUUGGUUAUUGGUCGCCCUGCUUUUCAAAUUCUUUUCCUAGUGUUGAAUUCUAAUUUUUGGUUAGGUUCUUUCUUUUUGCAUAGUUUCUAUUCUCGCACCACAAACUCUUAGAAUACCUUGUGAGGUGAAUUUCUUUCUGGAGAUAAAGUAAGUAAGUGAGUGUUGUAACCAAAUGACUGAGAAUGAUCGGUACAGAAAACCAACACGGAAAAUGAGAUUUCGUUGCUGCAUUAUGUCUUCAAAGAAAAUGUAUGAUGGUCCAUUUCAUCACAUCCUACUCUCAUGUUGUGCCCCGUUAAGUUCUUUUAUCUGAAGCCUCUUCUCCAUGUUUAUGCAGUUGAGCUGAGUAAACAAAGCUCAUGCUUGAUUCCGCAACAAGACUGAUCGGUAUGUUGCUUUCAAGGUGAGGAUUUUUUGCACCUUUUCAUUCACCAUGAUCGUGCUUUACUUUUUUUAAGGUGCGGUGGGCUAACAAUUUUCUUUCAAUCCUGUAUUCUCCUGAUGUAAUUUAAAUUUCAGAGUAGGACAUCAAUGCAUUAAAAGCUCUCUACUAUGGAGAAACAUUAUGAGCUUUAUACUGGAUAUCCAAAACAUUCCAGGUUAAGUCUACAUCUUUGAAGAAAUACUGUGUGCGGCCAAAUGUAGGCAUCAUCAACCCAAAUGGAGCAUCUGAUUCAAAAUUGUGCUGCUCAAGUCUGAGGAUCAUCAUGUUCACAUACUUAUUAAAGCCACUAACAUACUUGUGAGGAGGGACAUGCCUGCAGUACCUAAAUCAGCUAAAUAAUUAUUCUGCAAUUUUUUUGCCGUGACAUGUCAAUUGGACUGUAUUAUUGUUGGGUUACGAACUGCUUAAGGUAGAGUCAGUCUAAUUGUAGCAAGGAUCAUUUUUUAAUAAGAUUUUGAAUGCCUACCAUAGUAGCCUAAUAUACAUCGAGAUAAAUUAGUUUUUUGUGGGGAGAAUUACCCAAAAAGUCUUAAACCUAUUGUAAAUGUGUCAAUUCAGUCCUAAAUCUUUUUUCUGUCCAAUUUAGUUCUAAACCUUUUAUAAUUGCUUCCGUUGCUAAGGGUAUUGCUGCCCUAUCUAUCCCGUCUAACAUCGCUGCAGUUAUCGGUACUUGGGAUGAUCCACUCCCCACCCUUAACAACCAUGAUGACCGUCUGGUGUGGAUUGGCCACUCUUCAGGUCAGUUUUCUACUGCUUCUGCAUGGAGUAUGCUUCGAGCUAGAGGCUCCUUGGUUAAUUGGUCUCGAUUUAUUUGGAGUUCCACUCUUCCCCCACGCUAUCAGACCCAUCUAUGGCUCAUCACCCGGAAUAGAUUGCCAACCCAGGUCUUGCUUCUGUCGUAUGGGAGGAUCUCGGAUGGUUCCUGUGCCUUCUACUCAAGUAGGCCAGACUCAAUCGACCACUUAUACUUUGGUUGCUCAGUCACGGGUAGGAUGGUUUCGUUUUGGGCUCUAAAUUGUCACUUGAAUUGGCGAAAUGGUCCUUGGAAGGACAAUCUUCAGUGGGUGGUCAGCCACCUCUCGGACUCGUCUUUCCAUCACUCCAUUUCUCGCUUUGCAUUCGCUGCUAUGUGCUACCUUAUAUGGAAGGAGCGAAAUAAUAUAAUCUUUCGGAAUCAUACAUUAUUCCUGCCCGCCCUCAAAGAAAAUCUUCGGAAAGCUGUCAAAGAUAGAGUCUCCACUUUUUCAAGAAUCCCGGACAAUCCGUGUAAUCGAAGGAUCCAAAUGGCCUAGGGAAUCCAUCCUGCAAUCUUUGAAUAACUCUGUUAUUAAUCUCUGGCCCGUUACAUCAUUAUGCUCCUCUUUCGGUUGCCUUGGUGCCUCGGCUGCUUUUGGGUUCCCCCCCCCCCCCCCCCCCCCUGUUUAUCGUCUUGGCAGGUUGUGGCUCCCGGGCUCUUGGCUCUUGCCUGUUCCUUUCUCUUGGUCGUAUGUUUGGCCUUUUGUUGCUGGUGCUUCUUUUCUGCUUUGCAGCCCAUCCGCCUCCCGUCCACUCAGUUUGACGCUUGUGUCAGCUUGAGUGUAUGCUUGGAGGCGGUUGGUUGUUGUGCCUUUGUGUAACUCUUUGGUUCUAUAGCUAUAAUAUUCUUACCUCUUACCAAAAAAAAAAAAAACCUUUUAUAAUUGUGUCAAUUCAGUCCAUCCAGCCAAAAUUGACCGGCCUGCAUUGACGUGGAUGCCGGCGGGGGACAGCCGGCCAGCGAGGCCCCACCAGAUCUGGUGAGGUCAACCUCGCCGGCCAUUGGCGAGGGCGAGGCCUUGCUAGAUCCAGCAAGCUCGGCCCUUGCCAAGGCUGGGCGAGGCUGAGCCUCGCCAAAUCUAGCAGGGCCUCGCCUAGCCAUGGUGAGGGUCGACCUCACCAAUGGUCGGCGAGGCUGCCGUCACAGUGGAAAGAGCUUGGAGCUGCCCGUACGAGACAUUCUCCAAGCAAAUGCCGCCGCCUUGCACCUGAUCCCUGCCCUCCCCGACCGAAUUCACCCUCUCGAGGGCCACAAUGCCGAGCACCGAGGAGUGAGGGCAGUUCACGGCGCUCUUGAUGAUGGGAGGGAAGUUGCGGAUAAGGCAGCCUUGUCGCGGCUAUUGGCGAGGUCGACCCUCGCCUUGGCUGGGCGAGGCCCGGCCGGAUCUGGCGAGGGUCGAGCUCGUCGGAUCUAGUGGGGCCUCGCCCUCGUAGGCCCUCGCCUCCUACCGGCGGAGGUAAGCCUCAUUGGCCCUCGCCUCCUAUCAGCGGGGGUGAGCCUCAUUGGCCCUCGCCUCCUAUCAGCGGGGGUGAGCCUCACUGGCCCUCGCCUCUAGCUGGCGUCGUCCGACCAGAGGAAAGGGAAGAUGGGAAAAAAUAAAAAAAAAAUAAAAGAAUUUUAAAAUUUUAAAAUUCAAAAAAGAUAUAUAUAUAUAUAUAUAUAUAUAUAUAUAUAUAUAUAUAUAUAAAUUGCCUCACCGGUCGGCUGUCCUCCACCGACGUCCACGUCAGCGCCGACCGGCCAACUUUGGCCCGAUGGACUAAAUUGGACCAAAAACAGGUUUAGGACUAAAUUAAUAUAAUUGUAAUAGGUUUAAGACUUUUUUGGCAAUUCUCCCAUUUUUUGUGUUAGAAAACUCUCGAAAUAAUUUUUUUUUUUUAUACCUAGGAACCGUACAGACGGCAGGUAAAUCCUGGGGCGACGCUAGUAAAGGACCCAUCACCCCGACAUUCGCGCUUAAGAUCCUAUGCGUCUUGCGGGAUUCAAACUCCUGUGUCCUGGAUAGACGUCAUGGGAGCUCUUAUCUAGUUAGGCCACCGCAGUGGUUCAAAAUAGUAUAUUUGUAUUAUAUUUACCUCCAAAUUAAUUUUCGUGUGACUAGCCAAACGUAACUCAUGAGAUUAUCUCUUCGGCCCCGUCCCCGAACCAUGGGAAGAAAAAUACAGGAAUUUUGGAGAAAAAGAAUUACAGACUCCGAGAAGUUAUCAAAUGCGCCGUCGUUGUGGUGGUAGUCGGAGAUUAUCUCUUCGGAUAGGGCUGCCGGCGGGAGGAGAAGAGGCCGACGGGCGGCGGUGUGAGGCGGCGGAGCUCGGAGGCCUUCUCGAAGAGGCCCUUUGCGCCUCUUCGAGUACGCCCCGAUUCCCUCGGCCGAAGAGAUAAGCUCCGACUACUUCCGCGGCGGCGGCGGCGGCGGCGGCGGCGACGGCGACGUGGUGCCGCCGAUGGGUGUGACUGGAUUGAGGCUGAGUGGGAUUCUUGCGCAACGAAGGAGGACGUGGAGUCCCGGAUCGGCGAAGUAUGACGCCGUUCGUGAUUUCGUACGCAAAGAAAUUGGAAAGAUAUGGGAAGAAUUCGUCUUGCGAUGAUCGGUGCUGGUGGCGAUUCCGGAGCUGGGUUCGGUUGUAAUUGUGAAAUUUUGGCCGAUAGAGAGAUGGGUUCCGUUGUUGUGAGCUUUACAGUUUCUUGACUUUGCCGGAGAACUCGGCCAUCGGCGGUGGAAGCUCGGGAGAGGAGUCUGACGCUCUGUGAUCUUGAGGGCUAUGGAUAUGAUCCUGACCACUUUCUUACACUUGAAGAUUUGGAUGUUAUUCUGUGAUGUAAACUUGAAAUGCAUGUGAUUUUUCUUGUUAAACUUGAUGGUACAGAAUACAUGGGGUGGGUUGUGUUCAAAUUCGUCCCCUUUUGGAUGAGAAAAGCAUCAUUUAGUCAGUUGCUUCGUUGGUGAAGUUGGGGAUAGGAGGGAGAUUCAUGAUUUGUUGCUAGCUUGUGAAAGAGACGAGCUUUGAUUUAGACUGUCUUAUUAUGGCAAUGAAUUGACUGUCUCGGAUGAUGAAUGGCAAUGCCAGUGAAUGCAAAGCUUUCCACUGUCUGUGGAGUAUUAUUGCUUAUGAGAUCGGAUAGUUUAUGCGACUAAUCAUCUGUUCAUUGAUGAUUUCUUGUGGGAGAAACUUAGAAAAUGGUUUUGGAGAUAGUGGUUCAGAAGAGAGACGAGGAGCUUGUCAGUACUCUAAGGGGCUUCGAUGUGGAUGUCAGCAUGGUCCUUGAGGAUGUUACUGAGUAGUAUGUAUCUCUCUCUCUCUCCCCCUCUCAAAUUUACUUGUGCUUCAAGACGCUUCUUGCAUUACUUUGGGGUGAAGGGAAGCCAUUCCAUGUUCUUGACGUCAAUUUAUUAUCUGAAGGGGCAAAUGACCUUGAUUUGUAUGUAUUAGCAUUGGAAGUUAUCAUACCCGUGGUUUUUGAGGCCUCUCUGUCCUCAUUUUGAUCUAUGCUUCUAACUGAGAAUCGGUACUCGCACAAGCAUCUGCAAUUUGGCCUUGCUCAACAUCCAACGCCCCCCUUUUUUCCUGUCACUCCUCUUCUUAUUGACCUUCUUAAUAUAAACUGUGGGAGCUUCAUGCGAUCUUAAGAUUCUGUUUUCAUUCUUGCAUACAGUGAAAUCACUGCUGAAGCAUGAAGGGUAACAAAACUUGAUCAGAUUUUGCUUAACGGAAACAACAUAGCUAUUGUAAGAAACAACUUCUUCCUUCUGCUGGUAAUUAUAUGGCUCUAUGUUUUGAGCCCUUGCUUUGAUAAGGGCAUGGUCUUGCCUAAAGUUUUGGUAAUCUAUCAACUAGUAAGCAAUUGCCUUAACCAAACAGAAACAAUCCGCCGCUCAGCUGCUCAGAGAGAUUCCUUCUGAUAAGACUCAAAAUGCUUAGACAAUGUAUUGAUGAAUCAUUACUGGUCUUGAUUUUGUGGUAAAAAGGUCAUCAUCACCUAUUCUUCACAAUCUGGUCCUUUGUCUCAAUCAACCUUGUGUCCACCUCUUGAUAAAUAUAAAGCACAAGUGGUGUGGCAAUUAAGUUACUGAAAAGCUAGAAUUCUGCUUUCAAGUGCUUGAAGCACUUAAGUGAUGAUGCCUUCCUUUUUGUCUUAAUGCAGUUAGUCCCUGGUGUCUCCCCUGAUCCGGAAUGAGUUGGGUUCAUCCUCUAACUCCAGUGGCUGAUUAUGUAGUUACUUUUAGUUGUUGGAAGCCCCAUCAGCAACAUCAUUUGAUUUUAUAACCUCUUUUUAUGGGUUUAUGAAUCUGCACCUUAGUCAAUUGAGCUCUUAUUUGAUUGAGCCCAUGCGUGAAUGUCUGAUGCAAAUAGCUCAACAGAUGGUGCAUGAUCACAUCAUCCUAUUAUCCAAUAUCUAUGUUUUGCUCUACUAGAGGGUGUGACAAUGGUUGUCAUGCUUGGUGCAAAUUGUUCCUAGGUUUCAUCUUCCAGUGCAUUGUUAUUGAAGAACCUGUCUUGGCUUGUUUUAGAGUUCUACAGUUUUUGGCCGUUGACUGCACAAUGAUAUCUGUAUUUGCGCGCCGCAACCAUGCUAUCUUCUUGGUGGCCUGCUAUUUGACUACCCUCUCUGUUUUAUAGUACAUUCUCAACCUAAAUGCAGAAGGGUGUGUUCCCAAUAUCCACUUUGGAAAAGAUCAAAGAAUUCCACUUAUGUGCUUGUUGCUCUUUGCUUGAAAAAAUUCUACUUUAUUAUGCAGUAUGGUUCUGGUACCGAGACAUCAGGCCGAAGAUGUGCACUGUACUGCAUACAGCUAGAUGAAUAAUGGACGUAUUUUGCUCCAAGAGAUUUCAAUAUUCCACCCAAGUAGCUGUAGUUGCUGCACAUUGUGAAAAGAUCCACGCCCAAAGCGAACUCACUUGUUUUGACCAUGACUGGUUUUUUGUCGUUCAUGUUUUCAAGGCGGUUGGCUAUUUGGGUGGAGUGUUUUUUCCUGUUUUUGCGGUAGUGACAUUCAUCAGAGUUUUCUAGAGGAUUUCAGACUGCUGAAAGAGUGAGCUCAGAGCUCGUGAGGUGUGAUAUUGCUUGCAGACUUUGGUUAGAGCGACAAGAUCUAUAUAGGCUGGAAAUAAAGGUGCUGAAGAUUCACCAUAGGCCUCUUCUUUAUCGCUUGUUUUCAUGUAUAUUCACAACUGCAAACGAGCUUGACUUGAGGCAUGUAAAAUGAAGGGUAUAUGCUGAGAACUUUGUCUAGGCAUAGGUGCAUUUUUCUUAUUUGAAGCUUUAUUGGCCAUCGAAGCUCAUCAUCAUGAACAAGUUUGCAGUUUCAUUCCGAUUUUGAUUAGUUCAAACACAUGGUACGAGGUUCUUAUAAAAAUGCUAUGUGUCAGAAUUCCCGAAGUUGGAUCCAAAGUUAAAUAUAUAACAUGAUGUUUUUGUUCUGAGAUACUAAUAAUAAAAGACAGCUUGUUUUGAGUAUGUUGAUAUUUUCCUGUGACUGGUACGGUUCUUUUUCAUUCUUUCACCCAUUUCACCGUAACACAUGGUGCUACAACAAUUGUACCCUUAAAAAACAACGUAGGUUGGGUUGGGAAAGCAGUUAUAUUUCAGUAAUUGGAAGAUUAAUGUGUGACUAGUCAAACAGGGGAUUGUGAUUUUCCCUAGAUAUGAUGGAUACUCCUGAGGUGGUCAUAUAGUUAAUUUCAUUGUGGAGACCAAAUGGAAGAGGAAUUGAAUAUGCAAGGGAUGAGUGGGAGAAGAAUUAACCAAUUCAAUCAGGAGUGACUUCAGGCUAUAUGAUGUUUCCUUGAUUAGUUUCUUAUUCACAGAGUUAGUCUACACAAAAAGGCAGUUUGAUUUGUCUUCAAGCUAUUAUUCUAGUUGCAAUUUGAUUUAGCAAAUAAAAUGCAUACAUUGCAAUCAAUCCUACAUAAUUUAUUAUGACACAUCCUCCUGAAUCAAUGCCUCUGCUUGCUAAUUUGCAUUGCCAUUCUCCUAAAAAUCAUGAUAGGUCUGCUAGGGAAGGAGAUCAUCGCUUCUCACAAAUUUUUCAGUCCUUUAAUUCUUCUUGGAAUUGCAUUCCUUAUGAAAUGGAAAUCCUAGAUUCAAUGUUAAGACAAAGUUUCAUCCAAAAUUGGAUCGUGAUGUUCCAAAUGAAUCACGUUAGGUUAGUGAUGCUUGCUGAACAAUGUGUAAAAAUCACAAUGAUUAAAAAUGAAAAUUACUAGAUUUCAAUCUGGAGUAGUGAUUGAGAAAUCAAACUCUAACUCUCAACCUCUAUUCUGACCUUCUCAAUUAAAGUAUGGCUAGUAUGAAUGUCGAGACCUGAUUUUGUCGUUUUACUUCUCUUUUGGACAAAUUUAGAGAAUCACUUUAUGAUUAUGCAUUUAAAAGUGGUGUUGCGAGUAAGGUAUCGCAUUCACUUUAAAUUAAUUUUUUGUGUUGCAAAACUCCCAAAACAAUAUAUCCGUAUUACCUAUAUAUCCUCAAAUUAAUUUUGGUUUAACUAGCCUAACGGGAUUCACGAGAUUCUCUUCGGCUGUCCCCGAACCACGGGAAGAAAAAGACUGGAUUUUGGAGAAAGAGAAGAGGUUUUUAGAGCGAGACACACUUGCCAACCUACUUCAGACCCAAAAAAGAAAAAGCACACUUGCCGAUCUAAGUAAGUUAAAAGAGGACCAAAAUAUUAGGAAAUUCCGAAAAGUUUUCAGAUGCGCCGGCGCCGUGGAGGUAGUCGGAGAUUAUCUCUUCGGAUAGGGCCCGUCGGCGGCCGACAAGACGCCGACGGGACGACGGUGUGAGGUGGCGGAUUUCGGCGGCCUUCUUGAAGAGGCGCAAAGGACCUCUUCGGGUAGGCCACGAUUCCCUCGGCCGAAGAGAUAAUCUCUGACUACUUCCGCGGCCGCGGCGACGGCGACGGCGACGGCGACGUGGUGCCGCCGAUGGGUGUGACUGGAUUGAGG